UUUAUUACAACCAAAUAAGAAAAAGAAAAGAUAGGAAAACAUUUUAAGAAAACAUUUUCCAUAGUACCAAACACACUUAAUCAAAAAUUCUCUCUCUAUAGUUCAUAUGCUCAUACGAAACCCUAACUGUAUUUCAUCAAAAAUGGAUUGAUUUCACAACUUUGACAUGACAUCAGAGUUAGGAAUUCUGAAUCUCUAUUCGUCGAUCUACAUAGCGAUGUUACCCCCUAUUAAUUUCCAAUCAGUAUUAUCGGAAAAGGUUAUCUCUGCUCGAAAUUUUGUUGAUCGUCUUUGGAUUGCCGCCGGUUUGGUUUACUAUUUUGUUUCGAUUUUGGUUGGUGAAGAUUGUUGGUUCAUCAGCUGUAGUGGUAUUCUCAAGGUCGUUACUGUUUUGCGACUGUGAAGACGAUGGGUAAUUUCUUUCCUGCUCUAUUUUUGCUUGAUUCAUCUCCUCUUUGAGCUUUUACAUCGACUUAUCAUGGUGACUAAUGCGACUUGUAGUCAAGAUGGUACUUCAACUACUCCUGCUUUUGAUUACUUGAACCCUAUGUUCAUAUCUACCUCCGAUGUGACUGGGAUUUCUCUUAUUAUUGUUCAUUUUUCAGGAUCCAAUUUUAAGGGAUGGAAACAUAAUAUGAUAGUUUCUUUGUCUAUUAGGAAUAAGAUGGCGUUUAUAAAUGGAUCUUAUAUUAGGCCAACCGAGUUACCUUAGUUCGGGCAGUGGGAUAAAUGUAACAGAUUACUUAUAUAUCCUGGUUGGCUAGUUCACUCUCACUUGACAUUGCUGAAAGUGUUCAAUAUUCUGACACUGCUAAGAGUAUUUGGGACCAAUUGUCCAAACGAUAUAGAUGUGUUAUUGGUACCAAUAUUUUUGAGAUUAAAAAAGAGUUGACGUCCACUAAUCAAGUCUCUCUAGACAUUGCUUCUUAUUUCAACAAGCUUAAGAAAUUUUGGGAUGAGCUUAGGUUUAUGUGUAAAAAUAAUACAAAUACUUGUACUUGUGCUAUGAAGCUUGAUCUAGAGAAGGAAGAAGAAGAAAACAAGGUAAAUCAAUUCGUCAUGGGUUUCAAUGAGACCUAUGAGGGAGUGAGGAGUAAUUUGCUCAUGAUGCAGCCUUUCCCUUCUCUGGAUUCUGCCUACCAUGUUCUUCUUUGAAAUGAAAGGCAGAGACAAGUUACUAAUUAUGUGCAGUUUUCCAAUGACAGUGCCUCGUUUGAUGUUAAACAAACUUUCCUAAGAAAUUCCCUGCUUCAGGCUCUUAUCCCUCAAAAUCUCCACAAACCUAUAACUCUAAAAAAAUCAGAGAAUCAAUUUCAACCUAGAUAAAUCCUUCCUGUUAUGCAAGUAUUACAAAAGAUCUAGACAUUUGAUAAAAAAAAGGCCACGGAUUGUGUGAUUUACACUUGAUUUCAAGUUUUCCAAUCCUAAGGGCAAGAAAGUUAUUGCUUCUGCUGAAGUUCAACCUUCUGAUUCUACUACCAUUGGAUUUUAAGGACAUCUAUCUCGUGAUAUUUCCUCCAUGCUUGCUAGGUUCUCCACGGAGCAGUGUGCACAGGCCAUGCUUUUGCUUCAGAAAGAUUCAGACCCUUCUUCUAGCCUAAUGGCAUCUGCUCACUUAGCUAGUACAUUUCCUUUGCCUAGUUAUAUAGAAAAUGUGUCUUAUGGUGCAUGCAUGAUUAGUAAAGUAGAUGAAGACAUUUGAAUUAUAGAUUCUAGGGACACAGACAACAUGACAUCAAAUAAAGACCUUUUAUUUGAUAAUAAGCCCUUAUAGAUUCUAGGGCCACAGACCACAUGACAUCAAAUAAAGACCAAUUGUAGGGGUGCGGAUAACUUAAUAACUUAAAUAGAUCUAUUGUAUUUUUAUUUGUGCGUGGAUAUUUCUUAACUUCUUUAAAUAUUUUUAUUUUUAGUUUAUUGUUCAUAUCUUGGGGGUGAUUAACUGGUAUUUGAUUAAAUGCUUUACUGUAGUAUUCUUUAGUUUUUCUCUUAGUCUUUGUAAUUCUUCUAUAUUAUUUUUGAGGUAUUCUAAAUAUUCUAUAUCUUUUGUUCUAAAAUAUUCGAUUAAAUUCUCAUUCAUAAGCAUUUCUUCUAAUCUUAUUUCUUUCAUAUCUUGUCUUCAAUAGUUUAAAUACUCAUUAGUUUAUCAUUUUAUUCUAAAGUAGUUGCUUGUUUACUAGUUUCUGUGUAAUAUUCUAUUCUAAUUGUACUAUAAUUUAUAUCUGAAUUAAGGUUAUUAAUACUAUUAAUUAUCUCCCUUUCUUCUUCUCUUAAUGAGUUUUUUUAUGUAUAUAAACUUUUAUCUGUAUUUUUUUCUAAAUUUUCCAAGGUUUCUUUUAUCCAUAUUAAUUUUUCUUUUAGAUUUUCUAUUAUUUCUUUGAGUUGGUUUCUAUAAUUAAUUUCUUCAUAUAGGUCACUUUGGUUUUCUCUAAUUUUUCUAAUAUCUUCUAACAUUUUAGUCUGAAUAAUAUCCAUCUGGGUAAUUAUCUAGGUAUAGUUGUUCUAUCUAAUUUAUAAUUUCAAUUUCAUAGUCUAAUAUUAUUCUUUUAAUAUCUAUAAUUUCUAAGUAUAUACAAGAUUAAUAUUUUAAGAUUAUCUGUCUUUUAAAAUUGGUUAAAUAUUUUAUUAUAAUAUUUUUUAAUUUUUUGUUUUAAUCUCAUUAAUUCUUCUAUAUUUUCACUGAGAAAUUGUAUAUAUUUUAUAUCUUUAGUCCUCAUAUAUUCAUCUAAAUUUGUUUUCAUUUGUUUUUCUGUUGAUUGUAUAUUUUUUAUAUUCAUUUUCCAAAAUUCUAAAUAUACAUAAUUUAUCAUGAUUGAUAUGCAGGUUUGGUAUAUAAGCAUUUAUAAGAGUAGUUAGGUUAGUGUGGUAUAUAAUUUACUCUAGUCAUAAAAUACAGAUAUAAGAAAAAUCAUAUUAGAAAAAAAUAUAUUUGAUAAAUAUUUUAUGACUAGAGUAAAUUAUAUACCACACUUAUCUAACUACUCUUACAAAUGCUUAUAUACCAAACCUGCAUAUCAACCAUGAUAAAUUAUGUAUAUUUAGAAUUUUGGAAAAUGAAUAUGAAAAAUAUACAAUCAACAGAAAAACAAAUAAAAACAAAUUUAGAUGAAUAUAUGAGGACUAAAGAUACAAAAUAUAUACAAUUUCUCAGUGAAAAUAUAGAAGAAUUAAUGAGAUUAAAACAAAAAAUUAAAAAAUAUUAUAAUAAAAUAUUUAAUCAAUUUUAAAUGGCAGAUAAUCUUAAAAUAUUAAUCUUGUAUAUACUUAGAAAUUAUAGAUAUUAAGAGAAUAAUAUUAGAUUAUGAAAUUAAAAUUAUAAAUUAGAUAGAACAACUAUACCUAGAUAAUUACCCAGAUGGAUAUUAUUCAGACUAAAAUGUUAGAAGAUAUUAGAAAAGUUAGAGAAAACCAAAGUGACCUAUAUGAAGAAAUUAAUUAUAGAAACCAACUUAAAGAAAUAAUAGAAAAUCUAAACGAAAAAUUAAUAUAGAUAAAAGAAUCCUUAGAAAAUUUAGAAAAAAGUACAGAUAAAAGUUUAUAUAACAUAAAAAACUCAUUAAGAGAAAGAAGAAAGGGAGAUAAUUAGUAUUAAUAACCUUAAUUCAGUUAUAAAUUAUAGUACAAAUAGAAUAUUACACAGAAACUAGUAAACAAGCAACUACUUUAGAAUAAAAUGAUAAACUAAUGAGUAUUUAAAAUAUUGGAGACAAGAUAUGAAAGAAAUAAGAUUAGAAGAAAUGCUUAUGAAUAAGAAUUUAAUCGAAUAUUUUAGAACAAAAGAUAUAGAAUAUUUAGAAUACCUCAAAAAUAAUAUAGAAGAAUUACAAAGAUUAAGAGAAAAAAAUAAAGAAUACUACAAUAAAGCAUUUAAUCAAAUACCAGUUAAUCACCCCCAAGAUAUGAGCAAUAAACUAAAAAUAAAAAUAUUUAGAGAAGUUAAGAAAUAUCCACGCACAAAUAAAAAUAUAAUAGAUCUAUUUAAUCCCCUUGUAAUACCUUUCCAAAUGGUUACAAAGUCAAAGUGACUUAUACGGGAUUUAUAAAUUUUCCAUCUUUUACAUUAUAUCAUGUUCUUUACAUAUCCCAUGUAGACACGUCUGCACCAUCUCUUACUACUUUCACUACUCAUGUCAGUAAUAGUUUCACUUCUAAUACUUCUCCUAUUGAUCAUGGUACUCCCCCUUUUGUAAUUCCCAGUACUUCCCAUUCCCAUUGUAAAAAUUCCAUUGAUUUGAAUAAAAUUGACAUUUUAUGGAACACAUGUCAUUUGUGAAAAUGAAAGCUAUUUGUACUUUGCCUUGUAAUCUUUCCCUCUUAUCAAAGUUUUUCUUGCCAUGGUGCAAAAUCAGUUCAACUCUUUCAAUCCAAUCAAUUAGAAGUAUAAUGCUCUUAAAUUAGGAUCUAACACUUAUGCCUCUUUAUUUUUCAUGACAAAAUUGAUGAUCUCAUGAACAGAGUGUCAAUUACACAGGGCAAAUUUAUUACAGAAACGAUGGAACAUCAUUACGGGGCGGGUAAACUUUAAAGGAGCUAUUACAAAAAAUAGAUGGGACCAGAAGAAGGUUGCAGGUGGAGAGGAUCCCAUGAAGGCAGGAAAAUAUCUCAACCACAGGAGAAAAACUCUGCUUCGGAGAUGCCUGGUUGGUAGAUUCACCGGUGGAGAAAAAGCUCCAACUCGCAAUGACGUUAGAAGGUGGGCAACUCAGACUUGGAAAGGAGUCCCAAACAUUCAGGUCUAUGACAUGGAUGAAUUCAAUUUUUUGUUCGAGUUCCAAACAAGUUGAGCAGCUGAACACAUUCUGAUGGGAGAAUGGAAGAUGCACAACCAGAACCUUGAGCUAGAUUGGUGGAAUCCAACAAAAAUAGGCUUUCUAAACACUACGAGAUUUGAUUGGUACUGGAUCAGGGUUUUGGGUCUUUCUCUGCAACUAUGGAAUUCUGAUACUAUGAAAAAGAUUGGUGAUGAAUGUGGAGGGUGGCUGGAGAAUAAAGAAGAGACUGAGCUCAGAAACCACUUGAGAUGGGCCAGAAUCAGAGUAAAAGGACCGAGGGAAAAAAUCCUGUCCUCCAUUGAAGUCGAUGAUGAAAAUCUGACCUUUUCUCUGCCGAUAUAGUGUGAGGAACCAGCAACUUAUCGAAAAAGAUCACCGGAGAAGAGGAACGACGAUGACAGGUUAAAAGAAAAGAAGUCAAAUCCUAGCACAGCUAUGCCUAUGGAGGCUUUUCAGAACAGAGGAAUGGAGUUUACAGAAGAGAGUAUAUCGAAAUACGAGAUAAACAAAAAAAGGGAAAGGUGGAUUGACCAGGGGCAUAUGCUUUCUGUGGGGUCCUACUUAGGAGAGAGGGAGUUGUGUGUAGGAGGACCUAGUUGUGGACAGCUGGAAAGAGAGAUGAGCAGAGAGAAAGAAAUUCAAAAUCAGGGUUUUUGUGGUGGGCCAAGAAAACACUCUUCAUUUAAUUUGAAAGGCAAUUCAAGCCCAAUUGAUUCAGGCCCAAAACAAAAGAAGCAGCCCUUUACAGAGCCUUUUACGGAGUUCAUUAAUAGAACAAAUACAGAGGCAUGCAAGAGUGUGUAUUUUGUUUAUUUCAAAGGGGGGGACAAACUCAAUAUAGAAGCAGCAGGGAGAAGGAAAAAAGAGAAGAACAUGCAUCUGAAUCAAAAGCAAUUAGACAUACAUGUUCACAAAAAAGGGGAAUCAUCAAUGAAGAACAAUGAAGGACAAAGAAUUGAAGAGGAGGUGGUGGAUUUUUCGGAAUCUCUUCUGGUAAUGUAUGCAGAAUCGGAACCUUUAUAGGUUAUCAACAGUGCACAAGAGGAGGAUCUUGCUACAAAUUAGGUUCAAACAAAUAUGAUCAAACUUGGACAACUGUUUGGAGUAGAUUUUAAAGAGUGAAAAUGAAGCCUAUACGAUGUUAAACAAGAUGGAUCAAAGGAGGAACUAGGAGAAAGGACAAGGGGAGAGUUUACAGGACUCGAGCUCUAAAAAUAUAGUUCCAAAAGAGGUGAGGAAUCUGUUUUUUGACAUGAACUUCAAAGAUGGGGAACCAAGAUCUAGUGGGAGAAUGCUAGCUUUAACAAAUCAAUGAAAGUAAAGCUAGUAUCAUGGAAUGUGAGGGGGUUAAAUGGGGUUGAAAAAAGGGACAUGGUCAGGAAAUUACUACGUCAAUGGGAUGCGGAUAUUUAUGUUCUAGUUGAAAUAAAGCUAGAAGGUCUUGUAGAUGGUAUGCUACGGAGUAUAUGGAGUAAUAGAUGGGUGGGUGAAUUUCAUAAAAUGGCUGUAGGGAGCAGUGGCGGAAUCUUAGUUCUAUGGGAUAAAAGGGUGUGGAUAGGAGAAAUGAUGGAGAUUGGUGUUCAAAGUGUUACUGGGAAAUUCACUGGGGUAAAUGAUGAUUUUAGCUUUUCCAUCACUGCAGCAGUCUAUGCAAAUUGCAAUAGAAGAAUCAGGAAGACGUUGUGGGAGGAGUUGGUAACUAUCAGAAGUAGAUAUAGUGGGCCAUGGAUAGUGUGCGGUGACUUUAAUGUUACCAGAUUCCCCUCUGAAAGAACAAAUUGUACGAGACUGAAUGGUGCUAUGACAGAGUUUUCUUCAUGUAUCGAGGAACAGGAGCUGGUUGAUCCCCCUUUAUUUGGAGGAUCAUAUACCUGGAGGGGAGGAGAGAAAAACAAAACUGCCUAAAGGAUCGAUAGAUUCCUACAUUGUACACAAUGGGGGGAAAGUUUUUUUACAGAUCAGGCAAAAUGUGCUACCAAGACUAACUUUCUAUCACAACCCCAUUGCCUUGACAUGUGGGGACUGGGAGUGGAAGAAAACCUACUUUAAAUUUGAAACAUGGUGGCUGGAAGUGGAAGGAUUCAAAGACAAAGUAAAAGACUGGUGGAACUCCUUCAAUGUUGAAGGAAGAGCAGGCUUCAUACUAGCUGAAAAGUUGAAGUUACUAAAGGCUGAAUUGAAAAAGUGGAGUAGGGACAACAAAGGUAACUGGAAGCAAAGAAAAGAGGACAUUUUGAACCAGAUUACAAACCUGGAAAACAUCCAGGAAUGCAGAAUCCUCACUGAUGAUGAAGUUCUACAAAAGACCAAUUUGGCGAUGGAGUUUGAAGAGAUAGUAAAAAAUGAGGAGAUAGCUUGGAAGCAAAGGUCAAGGAUACAAUGGUUGAAAAGUGGUGAUAAGAACACAAAGUUCUUUCGUAGAAUUGCAACUUCAUACAAGAGGUUCAAUUCUAUGGAACAACUUCAAUUGGAAGGAGUCAUGGUAAAAGAUCCAGUUAUAAUCAAGGAGGCAAUGCAUGAUUUCUACAUGAAUCUAUUCAAAGAGUCUGAACAAUGGAGACCUGAUCUUAACAUACCGGAUGUUACUACAAUUUCUAAGGAGGAAUGGACUUGGUUGCAAAGACCUUUUGAAGAGGAAGAAAUUUAAGAAGGGAUUAGAAUGUGUGCAAUGGAGAAGGCACCUGACCUUUCAGACUUUUUGGGAGAUACUGAAGGAAGAUAUAAUCAACACUCUGUCUGAUUUCUACUACAAUCAAGACUUUUGAAAAGAAUUUCAAUGCAACUUUCAUAGCUCUAAUCCCUAAAAAGAUGGGAGCUUCGGAGUUGACGGAUUACAGACUAAUCAGCCUAAUAGGAGUGGUGUACAAGAUCAUAGCUAAGUUGCUGGCAGAAAGGCUUAAGAAGGUGGUGAGCAAGCUGGUUAAUAAAAAUCAAAUGACCUUUAUAAAAGGAAGACAAAUCAUGGAUGCUGCACUCAUAGCCAGUGAAUGUAUAGAUUUAAGGAUGAAAAGUGGAGAUCCAGGGCUACUAUGCAAAUUGGACAUCCAGAAAGCUUAUGACCAUGCAAAUUGGUUUUUCAUUCUCAACAUCUCGAAACAAAUGGGUUUUGGUAGCAAAUAGUUGAAAUGGAUAUAAGUUUGUAUAAAGACGGUGAGAUUUUCAGUUUUAGUUAAUAGUGAACUAGUUGGAUUCUUUCCAUCGGAAAGAGGAUUGAGACAAGGGGAUCCUCUAUCCCCCUUUCUCUUUAUUUUGGCAAUGGAAGGAUUUGAUAGCAUGAUGAGAAUAGCUACACGACAGAGAUGGAUUAGAGGCUUUCUUACAAGGGACACGCUAGGAGCGAGAAAAGAGACCAGUCACUUACUGUAUGCAGAUGAUACCAUUAUCAUGUGUGAGCCAGAGACGGAGCAAUUGAAUUAUAUCAGGCUGAUCUUGAUCCUUUUUGAAGCAGUAUCAAGUCUAAGGGUAAAUUGGGGAAAAAGUAGUUUGAUUCCUGUCAAAGAUGUACCUCAGAUUCAUGAAUUGGCUAAGGUCCUGGGAUGCAAAAUUGAGGGAUUGCUAACCACGUAUUUGGGUAUUCCCUUAGGAAGCAAACACAAAGCAUUGGAGAUAUAGGAUGGGAUCCCGGAGAAAGCAAAAAAGAAACUGACUAGGUGGAAAUCACAAUAUCUCUCUCUGGGGGGAAGAAUGGUUUUGAUUAAUUCUGUCUUGGACUCCUCCCUACUUAUGUGAUGUCCUUAUUCCUUAUUCCUUCAAAAAUGGUCAAAAAACUAGAUAGACUUCGAAGGAACUUUCUCUGGGAAGGAGGCAAAGAAAGGAAGGGUUAUCACUUAGUGAAAUGGAAUAGUGUCAUGUUGAGCAAAGAUAGAGGAGGCUUGGGCAUCAGAAACCUAAGUAUUCAAAAUAAAAUUCUUCUAAUGAAGUGGCUGUAGAGGUGCAUCAGUGAAGAGGGAACCCUUUGGAAGGAGGUGAUAGUAGCAAAAUAUAGUGAGUUGAACCCCUGGUGCACAGAGGCGGUCACAUUACCAUAUAGAUGGGGAGUUUGGAGAACUAUUAGAAAUUUGUGGAGUUGCAUGGAAGAAAAUGUGAUUCUCAAAGUGGGAAAUGGCAACAAGUUCAAGUUUUGGAAAGAUGGUUGGAUUGAUCAAAAUCCUUUGAGUGAGUUAUUCCGGAUCUCUUCUCAAUUAAACACCAAUCCAGAAAGUAGGGUCAUCGAAUGUUGGUCUAUACAUGGUGGAAUCUCUCUUUCGGAAGGCUAAGCAAGGACUGGGAAGUAGAUAGGGUGGCUCUCCUACUGGAAAACUGGAAGGAACUAAACUAGACACAAAUGUACCAGACAAGAUCAUUUGGAAACACAACAAGGAUGGAAAGUUCACAGUUAAUAGUGCAUACAAACAAGGGAUACAAGGGGACCUGGAAAUAAUAACCAUCAAUGGAAGACCAUAUGGAGAGGCUUGAUUCCUUCAAAGGUGAAGUGUUUCACGUGGCUAGUGAUCAAAAGAGCAUGUCUUACCCUAGAAAUCCUUCAGAAGAAAGGAAAGACGCUAGUCCCUAGAUGCUUUCUAUGCAACCUGACAGGGGAGACUAAUAGUCACUUAUUUAUGCAUUGCAAGUAUACAACUCAACUCUGGGAACUCUUUCUUAACAUCAACAGUUACAGUUGGUUCAUGCCUGAACACACAGCUGACUUAUAUAGUUGCUGGAUCAGAAAGGGGGGGGGGGGGGGGGAAAAACAGUCUAUAUGGAUAGAAAGAAAUGAGAGAUGUUUUGAAGAUAAAUCCAAUUCCAUUCAAAAAGUAAAAUGGAAUUGUUUAGUAUCUUUACUUUUUUGGUGUAAACAAUUGUGUAUAGUGGAUGUAGAUGAGAUUGUAGAUCUAAUAGGAAGUCUAUAAUUUUGAUUAAGGUUAUGUAAUUUCUGAAGGUGGCCAGCAUAUCCUAAUGCUGAGGAAUACCAAUUUACCAAUGUUCAAAAAAAAAUAAAAAUAAAAAUGGAAUUUUUCAUCAUACUUCUUGUCCCCAUACACCUCAACAAAAUGGUGUUGUUGAAAGUAAACUUAGAUAUUGUUGAAAACCUUUAGGGUUUUGUUAUUCCAAUCUAGAGUUCCUUUUAAAUUCUGGGGGAAUGUUUACCUGUAAUCGUAUACCUUUACAAUGGGUUUCCCUCUACUCUUUUUUACAGCAAAACUUCAUUUGAACUCUUACAUGGAACUUCCCCUUCCUAUUCCCACAUUAAGGUCUUUGGUUCCUUUGUUAUUCUUUUAUUCCUAAAUGUUAUAGACAAGUUUCAACCUAGAGAUGAUCCUUGUAUUUUUCUGGGAGAUCUUCUAAAUAAGAAAGGGUACAAACUCUACAACUUGACCUAUAAGCUCACUUUCAUUUCUAGAGAUAUUGUUUUCAAUGAAAAUAUUUUCCCAUUCAUUACUCCUUUACUGUUUCCCUCUACUUCUUUUUCUAAGUCUCCUGUUCCUAUUUUUCCUGACAUGUCACUAGAUCCAUUUACCUCUUUGUCACUUCCUCAUUCACCUAUUUUCCCACCUGAAACCAUUCCUUCUAAUCCUCCCCUCUUAAAAGAUCUAGCAGACCUCAUUUUCUACCUUCUCAUCUUCAAGAAUUUAUUUGUGUCCUACCUUCCUCCAACUAUGGCUUUAGUUCUUCUGUACUUUUUAGACAUUUAGCUAAUAGUGUUGUCCUUGAGCCUCAUUCUUAUCAACAUGCAACAUCUAUACCUGCUUGGCUGGACACCAUGACAGCUGAAUUUACUACUUUUCAGGCUAAUGACACUUGGUCAGUCGUACCUUCACCCAUUGACAAGAAACCCAUCGGUUGCAAAUAGGUUUUCAAGAUGAAAUAUAAAGUUGACGAAUCUAUUUAGAGGUACAAGACCCGGCUAGUUGUUAGAGGUGACUCUCAGGUAUAGGGGCUAGAUUUGUAUGAGACGUUCUUCCCGAUGGUUAUGUUUUGUACUGUUAAAUAUUUAAUUGUUGUGGAUGUUAAAAAAGGUUGGCCCCACUUCUAGUUAGAUGUCAACAAUAUUUUUUGCAUGGUGACUUAGAGAAGGAGGUAUAUAUGAAGCUUCCCGCAGGUUUGAUGGUUGAUGCUUCUUCUGGUUCUUCUCCUUUAGUUUAUAAACUUCAAAAAUCUCUAUAUGGCCUAUGCUAAGCUUCUAGGCAGUGGUACGCAAAGCUUUCUCAAGCUUUGUCUUCUCGAGGGUAUUUUCACUCUUCCAAUGAUCACUCAUUAUUCAUUAACAGGACUGAAUCUUCAACUGUACUUCUUGCUAUAUAUGUGGAUCACUCAUACUAUCUGGUGAUGAUCUUGUUGAGAUCUACUCUCAAAUUCAUUUUAGAUUCGAAUUUUAAGACCAAAUAUUUGGGCCACCUCAAUUAUUUUUUGGGUAUUGAAGCUUAUUAUUCUCCUUCUGGUUUGCUACUACACUAAUGUUUAUUAAAGGACCUGCUUAUGAAAUAUCACUGUGAUACUGCAAGCCUUGUCACCUGCCCUCUUGGCCUGUCUGUCAAGCUUUCAUAUGGGUGAUCCUUUACCCAAUCUCGAGUGUUAUCAGAAUUGGUGGGAAAACUAAAAUUUUGGCUCAUAUUCAUCUUGAUUUGUCCUUUGUUGUUCAACAUUUAAGUCAAUAUCUCCAGAAACCCACCUCUUUCCACAUGAAGGUUGUCUUACAUUUGUGCGUUAUUUGAAGGGAUCAUCUGAUGUGGGUGUUUUUUCCAACUCUCUAGAUUUUUCUUUAUCUGCAUAUUAUGAUGGUGAUUGGGUUGCUUGCCCUGAUACUCAUUGAUCUGUAACUGAUUUUUGUGUUUUGCUCAAGGGCUUUCUCUCUUGGAAGGCCAAAAAGUAGAUGUGAUAUCUUUUUCUUCAGUUGAGGCUGAGUACAAAUCAAUUAGCAAAGUCUUUUUUAUUAUGGACUUGUUAUAUCUACUCCAGUUCCUAUGUUUUGUGAUAAUCGGGUUGUAAUUUAGAUUGUCAAUAUUCCGAUUUUUCAUGAACGCACGAAGCACAUUGAGAUCUAUUGCCAUUUCACCCGCAAGUGUCUUCACUUUGAAACAUAUUUAUACUCUUUCUCAGUUGGCUGAUGUGUUAACUAAGUCCCUUGUAGGCUUGUUCACCAUCCUAUUCUUCUCAAGUUGGGCGUUCAAGGCCCUUCCAACUUGCGGGGGAGGUUUUUUUUGGUGUUUGGAGUUUCUCCAUCUCAAGUUAAUAUUGAUCAAACAGCUGUAGAGGAUCCAGCAUGAUAGACCCAAUGUAGUAUUGUAUUUAUUUUAUUUUAUAUUGUGCCCCACUUGUAUUUUGAGUAAUAAGGCCCACAUGUAUAUAUAAGGGCAAUGGGUCUUUCUAGAAGAUGGAUUCACUCAUUGUAAAUCAGAUAAUUUCUCUUUCUUAAUAAAAAAUUCUCUCCCAACAGUUCAUAUGCUCAUACAAAGCCCUUACUGCCUGCAUUUCAUCAAAGUCGGAUCGCUUUCACAACUUUGACAGAUCUAGGGCAAAUUCGUGAAUGGCUUUGAAGAGGCACUAAAUCGAGAAAUUAGACACACAAAAGUAAGUUGAAAGGAAGAAUUCAAAAAAUGAAUCAAAAGGUUGAAGGGAUGUGUUUUUGGCUAUAAGCAAAGGUGAUCAGAAUAGAUGGAGGGAAAAAAAAAAGAGGAAUCUAGUGAAAGAAGAAGAGGUUAUUGUGUAUAAUUAAGUUGUAUAACAUUGUAAAGGUAAAGUUUAGAUAAACACCUUUUAUACUCCUAUUAUUUGUAUUUAUACAUAUAUAUACAUGUGUAUAAACCUGUAUAAAUUGGUAUAAAAUUGCAUAAAAUUGUACAAAAGUGAUACUCCAUUCGUCUCAAAAUAGUCGACAUGUCUCAUGUUUGAAGAGUCAGCUUGACUAAUUUUCAAAUUUAAAUUAGAUUAGGUUAAUUUAGUACUUUAAAAUUAAAAUUUAGAUAUUUAAAAAUUAUAUAAAAAGUACUAUAAGUUACAACUUUCCUUUUAUCAAUAUGAUUAAAAUUACAUCUUAAAAUAUUUAUCAAAAUUUAUAUCGUUUUGACUUUAAAAAAGAAAAAGAAAACAUGACAACUAUUUUGAGACGACGGGAGUUUUAAGUUGUAUAUCGUAUAAAAAUGAGGCUAAAUGACUGUAAUUAAUUUUAUCGAUGUUAUAAAUGUAUUUACAUUAUAGUGAAUGUCAAAAAUGUAUUUACAUUAUAUUGAAUGUCUAUUAAAAUAUAGUGAAUAUCUAUCAAGAUAUAUUGAGUAUUUAUCAAGAUUUAGUGAUUAUCUAUCAAGUGAUGGAAUCAGAGGCGGAUCCAAGAUUCGAAAGCUCUGGAAGUCACCUUGUUUUGAACAAUAACGUAUACUCCGUACGAUAUUUUAGGAUAGUGGAAUCAAUAUUCGAAGAGUAAACUAUAAUUAUAUAUUUCUUACAAGUGUUAGUAUUGCUUGUCUAGUUGGUAUUGUUAAGCGCUUCGUAAAGAAAAGGUCAUGAGUUCUAUUCUUCAUAGCCAUACUAUGUGUUUUUUUUAAGAGAAAACAGACAAGUGCUAAAAAUCAUUCUAAAAAUAGCAGGUUUUGAACACACAUUGUUGAAGUUAAACCCAACAAUUUCAACCACUUACACCACUAGUCCCUUUGAUAUUAUGGGUGCCAAGCAUAAUAUCGAGAAGCGCGGGUGUCGUGCCACCCCAUACCUUCUACAUAGAUCCGCCCUUGGAUGGAAUGCCUAUCUUUCGGAGAGAAAUUAGAAGGAAGUUUUCCUGUAAAUAGAGGGUUCUCUUCGUUGUAACUCAUCACUCAAGAUGAUCCCUCAUCUCUCAAUUGAAAUAAAAUAUCUCUACUCCAUUCUUCUUGUUUUUACUUUAAUAUUCCAUAACACGUUAUCAACACGAAGCUUCAAUCGACUGACUAGAUGGAGAAAUAAUCUUUCACUAGAAUCAGGUAAUACCUUCCAAUAUGACUCUUUUCUUCAUUCCCUACUUGCAUUUGGAUUAUUAAAAUUAUGGAUGGGUUGUAUAGCCAAAUUUUGUGUGAAUAUGGUCAUCGGUCAGGCUAUAGCUAGUUAAUUACAGCAUGAAUUGGAAUUUUUUGUAAUUUAUCCUGAUAUUGAAGUAAUUUGUAUGCCACUAUGCAACAUGAAGCCAUCCUUAUAAUUGUUCACAAAUAUCGAUGCUCAUCCUUAUAAUUUGUUCACUCCCGUGAAUAAUUGACAACAAUGCUAUUGUGGAGAAUUUCUUGCUAAAUGCAUGAUUUGCUUAAAAAAACUAUGUUACCAUCUCAAUUUAUCAAGUUAGAAUAGUCAAUCUCAAUUUCAAAAUAUUUUGAUACCUACUUUACUUUUGUAAAAUAAAGAUUGUGAACUAAAACAAUGAAUCAAAAGGCUGAAGGAAAGUGCUUUUUGCUAUAAGCAAAGGUGAUCAAAAUAGAUGGAGGAAAAAAAGAGGAAUCUAGUAAAAGAAGAAGAGGUUAUUGUGUAUAAUUCAGUUGUAUAAUAAUGUAAAUGUAAAAGUUUAUAUAAACGCCUUUUAUGGACUUAUUAUUUGUAUAUAUACAUUUGUGUAUAAACUUAUAUUAAGUAGUAUACAAUUGCAUAAAAUUGUAUAAAAGUGAUACUCCAUCUGUCUCAAAAUAGUUGACCUGUUUCAUUUUUUACGAUUCAGUUUGAAUAAUUUUUAAAUUUUAAUUAGAUUAGGUUAAUUCAAUACUUUAAAAUUAAAAUUUGAAUAUUUAAAAACUAUAUGAAAAGUACUAUAAGUUACAACUUUCCUUUUGUCAAUAUGAUUAAAAAGUACAUCUUAAAAUAUUCAUCAAAAUUUAUAUCGUUUUGACUUUAAAAAAAUAAAACAUGACAACUAUUUUGAGACGAAGGGCGUAUAAAGUUGUAUAUCGGAUAAAAAUGAGGCUAAACGGGUGUAAUUAAUUUUAUAGGUAUCAUAAAUGUAUUUACAUUAUAGUGAAUGCAUAUCAAGAUAUAUUGAAUAUCUAUCAAGAUUUAGUGAGUAUCUAUCAACAGAUGGAAUGCCUAUGUUUUGAAGAGAAAUUAGGAGGAAGGGGUUCUCUUUAUUGUAACUCAUUACUCAAGAUGAUCCCUCAUCCCCCAACUGAAAUAAGAUAUCUCUUCUCUCUAUUCUUCUUGUUCUUACUUUAAUAUUUGAUAACACGUUAUCAACAUGAAACUUUAACCUACUGACUAGCUGGACAAACAAUCUUUCGCUAGAAUCAGGUAAUACAUUCCAAUAUAACUCUUGUCUUCAUCCCCUACUUGCCUCUGGAUUAUUAAAACUAUGAAUGUGUUGUAUAUCCAAAUUUUUAGGAAUAUGGUCAUCAGUCAGAUUGCAACUAAUUAAUUAUAACAUGAAUUGAGAACUGUUUGUAAUUUAUCCUGAUAUUGGAGUAAUCUGUAUGUCAUUACGCAACAUAAAGCUAUAUAACAAUUUAUAUUUCUUUUUCACAAAUAUUGAUGCUCAUCCUUAUAAUUUGUUCACUCCCAGAAAUAAUUGACAACAAUGCUAUUAUGGAGUUUCUUGCUAAGUGCACGUUUUGCUAAAAGAAACUAUGUUACCGUCUCGAUUUUUCAAGUUAGAAUGAUCGAUCUCAAAAUAUUUUGAUAUCUACUUUACUUUUGUAAAACAAAGAUUGUGAACUUCGUUUACUGACAAGCUAUUGAAUAAUUCUUUGGCCUAUUAUGUUAUUGAUUGAGGAUAAGGCGGUGAAUUCAUUGCACUAAAAGAGUAAGACAUUAGGUUAGAGUCCUAAUGCACCACGAUGAUAAGAUGUUGGGUUCAAAUUCCAUCAAUUUAUGACAAGAUAUUGGGUUCAAGUUUCAUUGAUUAUGACUUAAGAUGUCUUAUAUGGAUAAGACGUUGAGUUUGAAUCUCAACGCACCAUAUUGUUGAUAUAAUGAUGGUUAAGGCAUAAUAACGUGUAUUUGGUUAAAACUCAUGAAACCUAUCCCAUUGAGUAUUCUCCAUUUCAUGAAGAGAAUGUGGUAGCAAUAAAUCAUACGUAUGCCUCGAUAUGUUCUUCUAGUAGUAAUAUCAUAAAAGGGGUUCUAAGCUAUCAUAAUUUGAUAUGCUUAAGACACGAUUAUAGUUCAAUCCUGAAAAAUAAGAAUUUUGAUUGUUAUAAAUACUGAACCAUACCAUGGGGGUGAAUGUGACUGUAUUAGUAAACCUUAUAAAUUUAAACAUAUUUUUUAUUUCGAAGAUAUCACAAUACACCUCCAGAAGAAGUAGAAUAGUUGGAAGACUUAAUAUAUCCAAGAUACUAUGGUAAGAAACAUGAAUGAGAAAUGUAAUCCCUACAUGAUAAGAUCACGUGCCAUAAUAAACUAGAAGUUUAUUGAUAUAUAAUUCAUGUCAUAGUAAAUUAGAAGUUUACUAAAGCAAAAAAGCACAUGUCAUAAUAAAAUUAGAGUUUGCUAGUAUUAAAGUUCAUAAGUUGACAUGAACAAUCAUGACAUUUUGAAGAUGUACAUAUUAAGUGUUAGACAUAUAUUGACAACAACAAACCCAGUGUAUUCCCACUUAGUGGGGUCUGGGUUAGACAUAUAUUGAAGAACUAAAAAAAUCUUCAAAAAUUAUUUAUGUUGUUAGUUCUCAUGGUGAGUUGAUAAGAUCAACAAAUGUUGGGAUCGGAUCCCCUAAAUUCUCAAAAGUUUAAAAGUUGAACAAAAGCCUGUUCAUCUAUCACGUGAUAUAUUGAAUAGAUGCAUCAUUAAGAUGAUCACAUGUAUAUUUAUUUUUAACCUGCAGUUUGACAUUUGCAAAGUUGUUUGUUCAAUAUAAAUUGAGUUAAAUAAUAAUUUUUAGAUUGAGUAAUCACGAUAAUUUAUCUUGAUAAUGCUGAUUUGACAUUGAAUACCUUCGAUAUAUAGUUGAACCACUACUUAUGAGAAAAGAACUUCAUGUGUUGGUCAGAAAUAUGAUAUAUUGCAUACAAUAACACUCGUAUACAUUGAAUCAAUAAAUUAUGAUUAAUUUCUCUCUCUCAAUUGAUUCAAGGUCAGGAACUAAAUAUUUCAUCUAACAAAUUUUUAUGUGCGGUAUACAACUAAUGGAUAUACUAUGAUGCAUAAAGAUGAUUUCUCUAAAGUAAAUUGAAAUGUAUUUUAGUUUUUCUAACAUAAGGAGAAAUAAUAAGCAGCUAAGAAAUACGUAGUGAAUUAUCAAUAUGAUCUUCAUUCAAAAGAUAAUUCAAGUCAAAUGCUAGGAGCAUUUGCUGACCCCAAAUUAAUUUUAUAUUUAGCCGCAGAUGCUUCUAUUAGGUGUCCCUAAAGGACAAAGUCUACAACAUUCAUGAAGUGUGGUAGACCAUAAUCCAUCCCAAAUGAAAUAAUCUUUGAAAAAGAUAAGAAACAAAUGAUCAUAAUAAGGAAACAAUGUGCUCUUGAAGAGUCUAUGACAUAACACUUCAUGAACCUUAUGAGAGGUUUAAAUACCUAAAAUAAUGAAGUGAUGAGAUCUCAAAAUGUUAUGUCACAUUACGAAUCGAUACAAAAUGAUAUAUCAUUGAUGAUAUCUUUGAUAUAAUAUGACACAAUAUUGUAAAAGAUUAUGAGAAUUUAAAUUCUACAUUUAUUUAAGCAUGUUGACGUAAAAUAUUUAUCAAGUGACAUGAAAAGAUGUAUUUUGAUAAGCAUAAACUUAUUUGAUUUGCAGUCCAGACACUAGAAGAUAUCACACAUGAAAUGUUGAAUAUUGUCAUAUGACAAAAAUCUAUAUGAUAAUCCAUAAAAGAUUCAAAAUGCCUGAAACAUAUAAAAGCUUUUGAAGAACUUAUUUACAAUUCUUAUAAUAGAUAAAUUGAUGAUUUAAUUAUUGUUGAAACUCUUGGAGAGUUUUAAAAAAUGAUAGAUUAUUGUUAAGAGAAGUUGAAACAAGAAACAUGCAGAAUUGAAUUGGAUCCCGAAGUACCAUAUCCUAUGUAAUUGAUGCAUUUAUACAUCUUCCUAUAACUAUGAGCAUGAUAUAGUUUUACUCCUAUAUGUGGAGAUAGUGAAGUAGACCAUUUGCAUACUGUAAUUGAAAGCCCCUGCAAUAAUAUGUUUAUCCUAACGAAUAUUGUCAAGUUUUUGAAUAUACGAAAUAUUCAUAUGAUUGACCUAAGAGUUCGAUACAAACAUAUUAUUUAUUGUUAUGGAAACUUUCUUUCACAACAUGUUAAUAUUUUACAUGACAAUCAAAUAGGACUGAUAUAAUGACUAUUCGCAAAGAAAGUCGAGAUUGUAUUUGGCUGAGGUCAAUGAUACAUCUCAUUCGACAAAAAUCUGAUUAAAAUAUCCACUUAAACAAAAAUGUCGCGUGCAUGACACAACAACUAAUGAAAGGAUUCGUAAAAGGAGAAAGAAUGAAGAAAAUUUCUUCAAAGUUAUCUACACACACAAACUCCCAAAGAGUGAUGAUAUCCAUGUGUAAUAGAUUUAUUUAAGUGAUAAUAUGAAUUUAUUCAUCAAGUCUCUAUCAAUUAUAACUUUCGAGAAGAUGGUGCACAAGAUUGGAAUACGAAGAUUCGGGAUUUUGUUCUCAUCGGAGGAGCUUAUACAUGUUGUACUCUUUUUUCCUUUAAAGGUUUUGUCCCAUUGAAUUUUUUCAUAAUGUAUUAAAUGGGGCAGCCAAAAUGCGUAUUAUUAGAGAUGUAUACUCUUUUUUCUUUAGAUUUUUUCCUUAAUUAAUUUUUUCAGUAAAAUUUUAACGAGGCAUUCAAUGAGAGUGUUAUAAAUAUAUUUCAUUAUAGUGAAUGCCUAUCAAAAUAUAAUAUCAAAGUAUUGAGAUAUAUUGAGUAUCUAUCAAAAUUUAGUGAGUAUCUAUCAAGAGAUGAAAUGUUCAUCUUUUAAAAAAAAUUAGGAAUUUUUUUCUCUAUAAAUAGAGAAAUUCUCUUCAUUAUAGCUCAUCCCUCAACUGAAAUAAGAUAUCUCUUCACUUCAUUCUUCUGGUUCUUAUUUUUAAUAUUUUAAUAUUUCUUAAUAAUAAGCAAAUUUUUCCUUAAGUAUUUCAGUUUUAAGUAAGUUAUUUCAAGUUUACUUACGACCCACAAGUCACAACCUAUACUUCCUAUGCAAUCUAUGUCACACCCCUUUUUUAAAUCCAACAAGAAAGAUAUUAUUUUUAAGUCUAAAAGGGUUUUUAUUAUCAAAGUGACAAAAGGUGAAAAUUAUUUCGAAAAGGAUUCGUUUUGUAAUUAACUCAAAGUCGCCACUUGGCAUAAAUUGGGUGAGCCAAGUCACCCUUGGAUAUCUUUUUUCAAAAUGGUUUUGACUCUUUAAAACUGAUUUGCGAACAGAGAUUCCGGCUAAGAAAUUUUGUUGACCGAGGGAAAGGUGUUAGGCAUCCCUCGAUCCCGUGGUUCGACCAUGGCCGCUUGAUGAAGUGUAUUGGAUAAUUUGACAUUACAAAUGUAUAAACCAUAAAAAACACAUAAAACAAUCAAUCAAACACACGAAACAAAAGAAAUCCAAAAUUAUAGUGUCCAGUCCGAUUAUUACAACCUGAAAUAAAAAAAAGCACUGAAAAGUAAACCUAUACUAAUCCUAAACUACACUCCAAUGCUUUACCCGAUGCCCCGGGCCUUCAUCGCGAACAUCUUUCGAAUACAAGGUACCUCGGGGCAUUCCUCAGUGAAUGAAUACAAAUGACCAUGAGGCAUUCCCCAACUAAAUGAAUACAUUUUCAAAUGCGAGAAAAAGAGAAUUAUUCAACAAAACACCAUUACUAAAAUUUGCCUAUCCGACUUAGUAUUUGCCUAACCAUUUAACGAUCUAAAACAUGAUACUAGCAAUUUCAACAAUAUCCAACAAUGAAUUAAAAUACCACAAUAUUCACUUUUUAUCAUUUUCGCAAUUCUGUCCCCAAAUUCAUUCUCAGCCGAUGAUUAACAUAUGCUUCGAUUAUCAAAUCACCUUUCAAAGUCCAAAAUCAACAUCAACCAACACAUAACAAAGAUUCAAACAUACCAAACGGACAAAUCAUUCACAAUUACAUAAAAAUUAAAGGAAGAGGAGAUAGAAUUGGACCUCGAUUUUUAUUUUAAUCCCAAAUCAUUCGACAAAGCUACCAUCGGAAUAACCCUAAUUGAACCUCAACAACGACGAAACCCAACUCCGUAUAGAGGAACAACAACCCAAAAACUGCUCACAAAUAACCCGAUUGAGAUGAACGAAAAUCAAAUCCCAAACCAAUAUAAGCCUGGAGCGUUCGAAAUAGAAAUCGUGAUAAAAUUAACCCGAUUGAUAUUUUUCGUAAGAAAACCAUUGAAAUAAUUUGACUAAUUCCUUUUAACAGUGGCUGCGUCCGUCAAAAGCAACGAAUUUCGGCGAGUUUGAGGACUUCGGAAUAGAGUACACGGAAACAGAUGAACUAGUCACCGAUUUCGAUGAAAAUUUUGCCAAAAUUUUUUGAACAACGAUCGGAUUCCCCCCUUCCCCCCGAUCUCUCACUCUCAAUUUUCUACUGUAUCUUUUUCUCUUUCUCCGUUACUCUCUCUCUCUUCGCGACUCUCUCUCUCGAUCUAUCCCUUUUUUUGUGUGUAAAUUAUGUGUUAAUGGAGUUGUUGCUGUGUUCGCUCUCACUGUGUGGGUGUUGCUGUUGGGUGAGCGAUGGAGGAGUGUGAUUGUGAGCUGGUGGAGAAGAAAGAAAAAAUGGCCUGCUCUCCUUUUUUUCCUGAGUAUCUAUUCUUUCUUUUAUAUCCCCUGGACCUUUGUAUUCCUGAGUAUGUAUAUGCGUGGAUCUAUGUGGAACAGGAGAAAAGUUGGGUCUCUCUUUCUUUUCUAUUUUUGGUAUAAGAAAAGUGUGUAAUGAAUGGUGAUAGUGUGAGGGGUCACGUGGGUGGGUAGUGGGGUAGGGUAGGUGGGUGAAUUGUUUAGGAUAAAGUUUGUUAGGAUAGGAUUGAAACAAGAUAACAUUUAUCAAGGGUUGUUAUUUUUGUAUUUUUGUGGGGUAUAAUUACAUAGAUGAGGGUCUGUGGUAAUGUGAGCUAAAAAUAAAUAAAAUUGGACUUGCGAGGGACAAAAUUAGAUGUCUACAAUCUAAUACUACUUUGUUGAGUGAGACAUUACCAAAACCUAAAUGUAAACACAACACAAAACUUUCUUGUGAAGGAUCAAACUUGAGUUGAAAAUAAUUCCUUAUUCAUGAAGGUCUUUCAAAUGCUUUGAAUAAACUAAUUCCACAAAAUAUUUGCCAUUAAAAAAAUUACAUGAAGCUCUUUUAAAUGCUCUGAAUCAACUAGUUUUACAAAAUAUUUAUCAUCCACAAAAUAGACGAAGCUCUUUUAAAUGCUCGAAUGUCAUCCACAAAAUAUCUGUGCUACUUCUACCAAAAGAUCUGCUACUUUCACCUCCACAAAUAGAUUACCUGAUAUUUUGCUCUGUUCGUUGGUAAUUCUUCUUCAGUAAUUUCAAAACCUUGAGUGGUAGCUAGUCAAGUAAAGAGCUUGAAAGAGCUAGUCAAGUGGUAUUAAAUAAGUUGUGUCCUCCUAAGGGCGAGGGUGAGGUCAGUGGAUGAAGUGAAUUGAAGUGGUAUCGAAUAACACUGCUUGACAUAAUGUGCCUUCGGACAUACGCGAUAGGCGAUAGAAAAAUGAUAGAAAAUGGCAUACCAUAAGUGACUUGAAGUGGUUGUUGGGUUCAAUAUGUAUGAAAAAUGAAGGAAAAAUAGUGGAGAGAAAGAGAGACACUAAAAUGAAAAGUGUACUCUUUUAAGGGAAAGUUCACUAAUUCUCCUACAUUGGUGGGAGAAGGUAACUUUGAAGUGUUUAUAAUAAGAAGCACUUACUCCACAUGGAUAGUGAGGCAAGAACAAGGUGGUGCCUCGCGCCAUCGUCAUCGUCGCUCGGCUCGGCUUCGGCCUUCGACUUCGAAUUCGAAUUUGACAAAUGAUCGAUCGAUGAGAAAGUUUAUUCGACAAAAAUUUAAUUCGAAAAUACCAAAGAAAAAAAUAUAACAAAUUAUUUCUGUGUUUUGAUCCUCCAUUUAUAUGCAUGCAUGCGGUGUCGGAAACACUGUUUUUGAAAUGCAGUGUAGAAGCAAAUUGAUGCUUUGAAAAGGAUGCAAUCUUUGAAUGAAAUGAUACACUGAUUCAUGAAAUGGUAUGCCUGUUUGGAAAAGACGCAUUCUUUGGAUGAACAUACAUGAUUUUGCAGAAAGGUCAAACUUUUUAAGUGAACCAUUGCCAUUUUUCAGAAGAGGCACCUGAUGGGUAUAUAAACCUGCUUUCAUCUAUAGGUUUAGGUACGAAAAAUUUUCGUAACAUACAAACUCUUCUUGUCUUCAAAAACAUUCCAUGCGAUCAAUCAAAUCGGUGAGUGAGUUCAAAGAGAUUCUAAUUGUUUGAGGUACCGCUAUAGAUGGGUUGUUUAGCCAUUUUAUCCCGGGAGAAAGAUUCCAUAAACUUGGGUACAGUGAGGGAAAUUAUUCCUUAAAGACACUCCGUGAAGUCAGGGGACUUGGCCUUAAAAAAUUUGCUUCAUCUCAUUUCUGAAACUUAACAUACUUCUUGGAUAGAUUAUUCGUAAUCUUGUGUUGAAUUUGUUAAAAGAACUUCAUGAGUGUUCUUGUCUUAGACUUGAACUUGUGUUGAAGUUAUUGUUGCAUAUAUAUAUAUAUACAGAUUUUUGUACUCGAAAACGUUGAAAAUAACAUUCUUAAGGAAUAAGACUUUCGAAAUCUGUAUAGUUUGUUUUUGGAGAUCAAAGCUUUAAGCUUUCUACUCCGUUUCAACUUAACUAGUGAUUUAAAGAUAUAAAAUCUUCAUCACAAGUUAAAGAUCACUCAGUUAACGAUUGAAAGUCAUAAAAACUUCAUCGUUAAAUUAGAGACAAGAAUACUAGUAUUACCACGACGAGUCAUACUAAUGCUCCACAAGCUAUGGCACCGGCGGAGAAACCCAAAAAGUUUGCGGGUAUUGACUCCAAGAGAUGGCAGCAGAAAAUGUUUUUCUACCUCACAAAUCUCUGUCUUCAAAGGUUCACGGUUAAGGAAGCUCCGGAAGUUCCCGAGGAAACCUCUGAAAAAGAAUGCUCUAUGAUUGUGGAGGCUUGAAAAUACUCAGAUUUUCUUUGCAGGAAUUAUAUCUUGAGUGGUCUCCAAGAUGACCUUUACAAUGUGUAUAGCGGAACCAAGAUUGCAAAAGAGUUAUGGGGAACGCUAGAAAGAAAGUACAAGAUGGAGGAUGCCGGAAUUUAAAAGUUAUUUAUUGCAAGAUUCCUGGAGUACAAAAUGAUAGACAACAAGUCUGUUGUUUCACAAGUGCAGGAACUGCAAGUGAUCAUCCAUGAUCUCCUAAUGGAAGGUAUGAUUUUGACAAAUACCGUUGUUGAACAAUUUAAAAAUGUUCUUAGUAUUCAUAUGAACUUUAUGUAGAUUUGAUUUUGAAUGAAGCAUUUCAAGUAACAACAAUAAUAGAGAAACUACCACCUAUGUGGAAAGACUUCAAAAACUAUUUGUAACAUAAACGUAAGAAAAUGUCAGUCAAAGAUCUGAUUGUACGACUACGCAUUGAAGAAGAUAAUAAGGCUGUGGAAAGAAGGUCAAGAGGUAAUUCUGCAAUGAGUGGAGCAAACAUUGUAGAAGAUAACCAAAAUAAUUCUAAAAAUGAAAGAAAUCUGGAAAUGAAAGCAAUCAACCCUAGAAAAAGUUCAAGGGAAAGUGAUUCAACUGUGGCAAGAUUGGCCACAAGUCUACGGAUUAUCGUACCCCAAAUAAAGGGAAGAAGAAGGACCAAGCAAAUCUGGUUGAGUCUAAGAAAUAAAUGGAUGAUUUGUGUGCUAUGCUUUCUAAAUGCAACUUGGUGGGAAAUCCUCGUGAAUGGUGGAUGGAUUCUGGUGCCACCCACCAUGUUUGUGCUAACAAGAAGUUAUUUUCGACAUUUUCUCCUGCUCAAGUAGAAGAAAAGAUCUACAUGUCAAACUCCGCUACUACAAAAGUGGAAGGAACAGGAAAAGUGUGCUUGAAGAUGACUUCCGGCAAAGUGUUGACACUUAACAAUGUCUUGUAUGUUCCUGAGUUACGAAAGAACUUGAUUUCUGUUUCACUUCUAGACAAGAACGAAUUCAAAUGUGUAUUUAUUUCCGGAAAAAUUAUACUUAGUAAAGGAGAAGUGUAUGUAGGAAAAGGCUACCUCAAUGAGGAACUAUUCAAAAUGAAUGUAAUGAAUGUUGAAAUCAAUAAAAGUUCAAAUUCUUCUUACUUGGUUGAGUCUCCCAAUUUGUGGCAUGAACGACUAGGCCAUGUUAAUUACAAAACAUUAUGAAAACUGAUUAACUUAGAAAUUUUGCCAAACUUUGAAUGCAAUAAAUCAAAGUGUCAAACUUGUGUGGAAUCAAAGUAUGCUAAGCAUCCGUGUAAGUCCGUUGAAAGAAAUUUUAAUCCCUUAGACUUAAUCCACACUGAUAUUUGUGAUAUGAAGUCAAUACCAUCACAUAGUGAAAAAAAUAUUUCAUAACUUUUAUUGAAGAUUGCACUAGAUAUUGUUAUGUCUGCUUGAUAAAUAGUAAGUAUGAAGCAAUAGAAGCGUUUAGACAAUACAAAACUGAAGUUGAAAAUCAAUUAGAGAAAAAGAUCAAAACUAUAAGAAGUGAUAGGAGCGGAGAAUAUGAAUCUCCCAUCGCCGAAAUAUGUGUAGAGAAUGAAAUUGUCCAUCAAUAUAAGACCCCGUAUUUACCUCAAUCUAAUGGAAUUAUGGAAAUAAAAAAUCAAACUUUGAAGAAAAUGAUGAAUGUCUUACUUAUAAGUUCAGGUUUACCACAAAGCUUGUGGGGAGAGGCUAUCUUUACAGCCAACUGAAUACUCAAUAGAGUUCCCCAAGAAUGACUCUGAAAUUUCUUGAAAGAUAUUCCUUAUUAGCCCAAACUAGUGGCACUAGUAUGUAUACACUGUGAUAACCAAGAGGCAAUAAGUAGGGCAAGGAGCAUGAUGAACAACGAUAAAUCUCAUCACAUAAGACGGAGACAUAAUAUCAUUAGAGAACUUCCCUCUAGUGGAAUUAUCACUGUUGACUAUGUGAAGUCAAAGAAUAAUAUGUCAGUUCCAUUUACAAAAGACCUAUCUAGAGAAGGAGUUAAGAUAACAUCUAAGGGAAUGAGUUUGAGGCCUAGGACACGUCAUCAUGAUGGUAACUCUACCUAGCAGACUGGAGAUCCCAAGAGUUAGGUUCCAGGAGAUCAAACAAAGUUGUGUCUAACAGGUUCAACAUUGUCAAAUACCCAACCCAUUCUCAUGAUAUAGAUAAUGUUUAGUAAACAAGGUUAAGACUUAUGGUGUGAAGUCUUUUAAUGAUUAUCUAAAUUUGACAGAUUUGAACAUAUAGUUUAAUUUAUAGGAUUGAACGUUUAGAAAUCACCUAUGUGAGGGCGAAGUGAAAGCCGCUUCAAGGAGAAUGUUUGUAAAGGCCUAUUCUCUAAGCUCUCAUGAAAUCGGAACUGUUCAUGGCUAAAAAGAAAAAACCGUGAGAACCAUAAAUGGUAAAAGUCUGAUUGUGUGACAUGUGUUGUCUAGGUAUACAUUAAAGCUUGACGGUUCAAAGAUAUCAAAUCUACCGAUUGAUCGAGUGUAUCCAAUGCAUGUUCACUAUGGAAAGUUCAAAGGGAGACCCACUUAUCCAAAUGCAAUCAAUCUUUGCUUGAUGAUCACAUACUUGUCCGUAAAAUUUUAUGAAAAAGUAGCCAUUCCUCAUUCAUGUGGGGGAUUGUUGGGUUCAAUAUGUAUGAAAAGUGUGAAUAGAAAAUGGAGGAAAAAUAUUGGAGAGAAAGAGAGACUAAAAUGGAAAGUGUACUCUUUUAAGGAAAAGUUCACUAAUUCUCCCACAUUGGUAGGAGAAGGGAGCUUUGAAGUGUUUAUAAUAAGAAACACUUACUCCACAUGGAUAGUGAGGCAAGAACAAGGUGGUGCCUCACGUCGUCGUCGUUGUCGCUCGGAUUCGGAUUCAAAUUUGUCAAAUGAUCGAUGAGAUCUAUCUUUUUAGACAAAGUUUAUUUGAUAGAAAUUUAAUUAGAAAAUACCAAAGGAAAAAACACAACAAAUUGUUCUGUGUUUUAAUCCUCCAUUUAUAUGGAUGCAGUGGUGGAAACACUAUUUUGAAAUGCAGUGCAGAAGCGAAUUGAUGCUUCAGAAAGAAUGCAACCCUUCAAUGAAAUGACACACUGAUUCAUGAAAUGAUAUGCCUGUUCAGAAAAGAUGCAUUCUUUGAACGAACAGACAUGAUUUUUCAGAAAUGUCACACCUUUUAAGUGAACCAUUGCCACCUUUCACCUUUUAAGUGAACCAUUGCCACCUUUCAGGAGAGGCUAUAUAAACCUACUUUCAUCCACAAGUUUAGGUACAAAAAAUUUUCUGAACAUACAAACUCUUCUUGUCUUCAAAAACAUUCCGUUGAUCAAUCAAAUCGUUGAGUGAGUUCAAAGAGAUUCCAAUUUUUUGAGAUACUGCUAUAAAGAAAAAUUUCAUAACCUCAGGUACACGGAUACUCCAUAAAAUCGGAAAACUUGACCUUAAAAAAUCCAUUUCAUCUCAUUUAUGAAACUUAACAUACUUCUUCGAAUAAUGUUAAAAUUAUUGUUGCAUAUAUAUGUAUAUAUAUACAAAUUCUUGUAUCUGAAAACAUUUAAGUGUCGGGAGUCUAUUAUGUUAAUUGAAGCGGUGUCGGAAGACGAUAGAAAAUGGCACAAUCGAAUUGGGGCAGUGUCGGAAGACAAUAGACUUCCGAUAGAAAAUGGCACAAGCGAAUUGGGGAGGUGUCGGAAGACAAUAGAAAAUGGCAAAAGAGUCUAUUUCAGACAGAAAAUGGCAAAGGAGUCAAUUAUGUUAAUUGAAGCAGUGUCGGAUAACAUUGCUCGACAUAAUGUGUCCCCGGACAAAGGACAUAGGCAAUAGAAAGACGAUAGAAAACGGCCUGAAUUGAAGCAAUGUCGGAUAAAGUCGCGAGCAGAAGGGCAAUAGGCGCAAGUAAAUUGAAGUGGCGACGGAUGACGGAUAACAUUGAUCGACAUAAUGUGCGUCCGCCUCAAAGCAAUAGGGGAAUAGACAGGCGGUAGAAAAUGACACAAGUGAAUUGAAGUGGCCUAGGAUAACAUUGGUCGACAAUGUGCGUCCGCCUAAAGACAAUCGACAAUAGAAAGACAACAGAGAAUGGCAUGUCUCGAGAAGAUUAUUAAAUUACAAAUGACCUAACCGACGACCAAAACAACCAUUACAAAAGGAAAUCUAACAUACGACACUGCGCACAACGCUUACAAAAGACGUCAAAGAAAGCAACUAAAAUUCAAGUGCAGCCUUCACAUCAUUAUUCCAUCCAAAAUACAAGCUAAUUAAGUUCUAACAUCAGUUCGAACAUCGGUCCUUGCACUUUCUUUUCCUUCCUGCGCUUUGCUCUGUAUUGCCUGUCCAGCCUCCUUUGUCUUCUGUCCCACUUGCGCCGCAGCUUCUGCUGCUCGCUCUUGAAUGCGCCUCUUCGUGUAAUCCAACUGCUCCGUCAUUGUCCUCCCUUGCUUAAAAUAAUUCACAAUCCAUGAAAGUGAUGAUAAACCCGUCAACCCAAAUGCACCUAUAUUGGCCAUAUACAUUUUUAGAGUUAUGAUAUCAAAUAAUUUUUUAAACAAAAAUAUAGAAUUAGAGUACAAGCUAUUGAUUUCUGUCACACGCUUACACACAAUGUAGGUUCUAUCGAAGAAAAGAAUGCACUUCUUGUUUCAAUUAUGGACCUAAAACAAUCUUUAAAGUACACUUGUUCAAUGUAUUCGUCCUCAUAUUAAUUUAUGUUGCACCAUUUGAAUGUCUAUUUUUUUUAGUUUUAACUUAAUACUCCCUAAUUUAUGUUGUACCAAUGGAAUUUUGAGAUCCACAAUUACGGUGAACUUGUAUACUAUAAAGUUUUAAAAUUAUUUAAAAUAAAUUGAAUAUUUGAAAGGCAUACCAAAAAAAUAGUGCAAGACACAAUAAUUACCAUGUUAAGAGACGUAUAAGAAAUUGUGAUAUAAAAGCUCUUUUGAGCUUUCAAAAUUCAAAUGAUGCUACAUAAAUUAAGACAUGAGCUUUCAAAAUUCAAAUGAUGACAAAAAUAAAAAAUAAGUAUAUAUAAUCGAUUGAAUCGUGACCUGAAGUCAAGAAGCCAGUGACAGCUAGAGCAACUGUGAGAGCAGCUGGUACGAGGACAGGGCUAAACAACAGAAAGACGGGAGUAGCAACACAAAGGCCAAUAAUAGUCCCAAGAAGAGUAAGCCCCGCAAGUCCCAGAAGGACUCCGCCGACUGGGACAAGCGCGACAACCGCUAGUAUUUGGCUAGUUGAAGGACCUUUUUGUGGAAGAAGUGAUGGCCUAGUCAUACCACCUUCAUAACGUGAAGGAUGAACUUGAACUUGGUGUGGAUAUUGAGUACGGUCAGCCAUAGUGAAUUGACGAUAAUGAUGAUGAUAAGAGAAUUUUUUGUUGUUCAAAUGUGUGAAGAAAUUUGCGUAAAGAGAAAUGAGAAGUGUGUGUUGAUGAGGUGGUGUUUUUAAAGAAAAGGAGGAAAUGCUACGUGGUGUAAUGUUAGAGUAAUGGGCUUGCAUGGAGUACAUGUUGCACUAAGUUCAAAUAAGGGUAAUGACAUUACAUUACAAUAAAAUAGAUGAGGGACAAAUAAUAAUAAGUGUUUGCAGGUGGUGGCACUUUAAGUUGGUAGAUCUAAAGCCAGGGGCGGUAUUAAGAGAGUUGAGGGUGCCACACCAUCCGUAAAUUUUGACGGAAGAUUUUUAUAUAUAUAUAUUAAUAUAGUUAAAUAAUUAAUAUGUCACCCAUAAAAUUGAAGUGCUUUUUAAUUCGAGUGGUAAAGUGUCACAUUAGCUCUCCUAGAUUGUGAGUUCGACCUUUACUGACAAUCUUACUUUUUCUCUUAAUUUUAGGUUGAAGUGAAGCCACAAAUAACUAUUACUAGUUGGCAAUUUCUUUUUUAUGUGUAUUAAUAGUAAUUAUAUUGAAUUUUUCUUUUAUUUUUCGAAUAUUAAUAAUUAAUAUUUAUAUUAAAAAGUGCAUAAUUUUAUUCUCUCUCCUCAAUUAAAAAAAAAAUCAUUUCUCUCAAAUUUCAAUUCCCAAAUCAUCAUAGCUCUCUGCUUUUUGGUUUUUAUUGUUGCUACUGCCGGAGUUUUUGGCAUCGUCGACAAAGAUCACAGUCUCCGCCUCACCAACCACCUCUCUCCGCAUUCAUUAUUAAGUUUACUUGACACCCAAAAAGUUCGAAUCCUGGAUCCGCGUCUGUCUAAAGCUAAUUUGCUAGUACUCGUUUUUCGACCGCUAGAGAUGGUUUAGUGAGUUGUAUAUAUCUAUAUAUUAGAUGCUUUUAGAGAAUUAAAUAAAUUAAAUAUGAAAAGAUAGUAAAAUAUGUUUGAAGUUUUUCUUUUUGUUUGAGUCUCAUAUUUUUGUUCUUGUGUUUGUGUUUUUUUUAUCUUAGUUAUAUUAAUAUCGAGGGGCUCGUAGCAUAGGAAUUUAAUAUAUGUUAUUUUUUAAUGUGAUAUAAAUAAAAUUUAAAUAAUUAAUUAUAUUUUUAAUAUAAAAUUAUUGUAAUUUAUAAUAUUUUUUUCUUUCAAUUUAAGUGAUAUUGAUAUAAUUUCGAGAGUCAAUCAAAUAUCAAGAUUGAAGUAGCGAAACAGUCAUGUCUUAAAUGACUCAUAAUAACUAACUGAAGUGAUAUAACAAAAUUUAUUAUAAAAAUACUUGUGAAAAAAAUUUAAGUGGACCUCAUAUAAGAUGUUAAAUUAAUUUAAAACAUCAAGAGUUAAUUGGUCAUUUUAUAUCUAUUUUAUUUUUUAUUAAAUAUUGUUAAUUUUUUAAUACUUAAAUAACUUAAAAUAAUUAAUUAGGAGUGAUGUAGUAAAAUUAUGGUUGAAGCAGAUAGGUCAUAAAUGUUUAUUUUAUUUUUAAUCAAAUAUUAUUAAUUUUUUAAUACUUUAAUGAUAUAUAAUAAUUAAUUAGGAGUGAUAUAGUAAAAUCAGGAAGCAAGCAGACAGAGUUAAAAAUAUGCAUGACAACCGCUAACUUGACUUCUUGAGCUGGCUGCUUACUCGCUCUGCUAUAUAAUAUAGCAGUAAUAAUUUAUUAAAAUACAAUUAUUAGAUGAAGUGUUUGAAACAAUGAUGAAAAAAAGGUGAUUAUUUAAAUAACUAAAUAUCCAAGUCCUAUGCUUGCAUGGGUUAAAUAUAUAUUACUUUUUUAUCUUAAUUUAUAUGAUAUGAAUAAAAUUUAGAUAAUUAAUUAUAUUUUUAAUAAGUUUUUAGAUAUUUUAAGUUGUUAGCUAUUGCAAUUGUUUUUCUCAAUUAUAAUGAGACUUUGAAUCAAAAGGGACAAAUAAAUUUAUCAAUUAAGUGGGGUCCUUCAAGUUUUAAAAAUUAGGUAAAAGGGAAUAAGAAAGUUCAAUUUUUUUAAAAUAUUUUUUCUCCAAUAACUAAAAAGGUUGUCUCAACAACUAUAUAAGUUGUCUUAAUAAUUAUCAAAAUUGUUCGACUGCAAAGUUGUUUGACAACUUUGAUAACUGUUGAGACAACUAAUACAGUUGUCGAACAACUGUCUUAGUUUUUUAAGCAACUUUAUCUUUUUUAACAUAAUAAUAUUGUGGAACCCACUUAUCACCUUUAUUUAAUUAAAGACUUGAGAGAAACUUUAAGCUCAUUUUUCUAUUUUUAAGUUGCUAGCUAUUGUAAUUUAUAAUAUUUUCUUUGUCCAAACUUUUGUGAUAUUGAUAGUCAAUUAUUUUUUAAAAAUAAUUUAAAUUUUUAAUUAUUAUGAUUUAUUUUUUCUUCUAUUCCAAUUUAAGUAACACUAUAAAAUUUCGAUAGUCAAUCAAAUAUUAUGAUUGAAGUAGUGAACAGACAUGUCUUAAAUGUCUCAUUAUAACUUAGAAGAGAAAAUUGAAGGAAAAAUGUUUUUUAAGUCUUGAAUGAAGGAUUGGUGACAUUGACCAACUUAAAGGGUCAAACAUCAUUAGGAAACUUGAUUAAGUUAAUUAUGAAUUUGAUUAAUAUUUUCCAAACUUUCUAAUCUUUUCAAAAAUACAAAUCAACCCACACCCUUCUUCAAUCCAAAUCAACCAGUCUCUCUUUCCUCUCUCUCUCAACAGCGUCUCUCAACUCUCUCCCAACCAACAGUUUUGCAAAAUUCUCCCUUCAAUUCCCGACGACUUUAACCUCCGGAAAAAAAUAGUCGGGCGAGUUCCCUUUCAACUUUCAAUCGUCAAUCGACAUGAAGACUUCUCUGUCGACAACAACUUCGAGUUUUUCGUCGUUCUAUUUUCUUUUUCAUAGGUAAAAAAUUAUGAAGAAACAGAGGAACUUGAGUCAAUUACUCUUCUAGUAUUGACAUGUGGACUGAAUAAAAUCCUAAUUUCUGUCAUUUUUUCUUCUUGUUAUCUGUUGAUUCAGAUUUAUUGAUGAUUUUUGUUCACAGUUGAUGUUCUUAGUGUGUGAUGUGUUGGUGUUGCUGGGUUGAUUUGUUGUUUGUCUUGGUAAAAAUAGUGUUGCAACAGAUGAAAUAUCUGAUGCGACAGAUGAAGACAUCUGAUGCAACAGAUGAAAACAUCUGAUGAAACAGAUUAAAAUCUGAUGAAACUAUGAAAAUCUGAUGCAACAGAUGAACAAUCUAACAGAUUAUUCAUCUUUUGCGACAGGUGACUCUUCUGUUCGAAGAAAUCUAAACAAUAUUAAUCCAACAGAUAACUCAUUUUACAAUAGAUGAGUGAUAUGUUUCAGCAGAUCAGUGAUCUAUUUUUAUUGUUUCCAAUGAAUUACUCAUCCGUUGCAAUGGGUCAGUUAUAUGUUGCAACAGAUAACAUACUUGGUAUAACAAAUUAGUAAUCUAUUUUUAUGGUUUCUAACAGAUUACUCAUCCAUUACAACAGGUUGGUUAUAUGUUGCAACAGAUAAACUACCUGGUGCAAUAGAUUAGUGAUUUGUUUUAUGAUUUCUAAUGGUUUACUCAUCCGUUGCAAUGGUUGGUUAUAUGUUGCAUAAGAUAACAUACAUGGUGCAACAAAUUAGUGAUCUAUUUUAUGGUUUCCAACAGUUUACUCAUCCGUUGCAACGGUUGGUUAUAUGUUGCAUCAGAUAAAAUUUUUGGUAUAGCAGAUUAGUGAUUUUUUUAUUAUUUCCAAUGGUUUACUCAUCCUUGCAACAGGUUGGUUAUAUCUUGCAAUAGAUAAACUACCUGGUGUAAUACAUUGGUGAUCUGUUUUUACUAUUUCCAAAGGAUUACUCAUCCGUUGCAACAGGUUGGUUAUAUAUUGCAACAAAUAAACUACCUGGUGCAAUAGAUUAGUGAUCUGUUUUUAUGGUUUCCAACGGUUUACUCAUCCUUGCAACAGGUUGGUUAUAUAUUGCAAUAGAUAAACUACCUGGUGCAACAUAUUAGUGAUCUGUUUUUACUAUUUCUAACGGAUUACUUAUCUUUGCAACAGAUUUGUUAUAUGUUGCAACAGAUAAACUACCUGGUGCAACAGAUUAGUGAUCUAUUUUUAUGGUUUGCAAUGGUUUGCUUAUCCGUUACAAUGGAUCGAUUAUAUGUUGCAUCAGAUAAAAUACCUGGUACAACAGAUUAGUGAUUUAUUUUUAUUAUUUCCAAUGGUUUUCUCAUCCGUUGCAACAUGUCGGUUAUAUGUUUCAACAGAUAAUGUACCUGGUGCAACAGAUGUGUGGUCUGUUGGAACUGUUAUUUUAUCGUUGUGCAUGUUAGAUUUACUGUUAUCCCUUUUUAAUGAUGCAUUAAUCAAUUAUAAUUUAUUUUAUAUUCCUGUUAAUUUAAGAUAAUAUGGCUCCCAAAAGAAACUGAAUCAAGUCCAAGUAAAGGAACAAGUGCAACAGGUUGGCUACAUCCACUACUCUAUGAGCUUGCUUUACAAGCAUUAUCUCAAUCAGGAGCAGAAGAUAAUGAACACGGGGAGGAGAAAUAUCUCAAAAGAGAUGAUCCAAAUGCUAAUAAACCUUCCACCGAACCUGUGAAAAUGCAAUGCGAUAGUGCCACAGAUUUAACGGGUGAUUUCAUGGUUAAGUCAUCUAUGGGAAAAUAUUUCGACGCCUUCAAAAAAAUAUUUUGAGAAAAAAAAUUGGAUGGUUAUUUUAGGGAAAGCUGCUUUGGGCAAUAUCUUGAUUUGCCGGAGGACAACACUGCUCGUUUCUAGAUGAAAAUGGUAUACGAUCUUCUUAAGCAUAGGUUUAUGUAUGAAAACAAAGAUAAGAUAGAUGAGGUAUGGAUAAAUUACUGUGACAUGCUUUUUUGUUUUGGUUGGAAGGAGUUUUCCAUAGUUAUCGAACUAAAAUGUUAUCAUCCUUCUCUUUCUCAAGUUAUACCUACUCUGACCCAAAAAAACACCCCGCACACCCAAAAAAGGCAAAGGCAAGUCGAGUGAUCGUGAGGACCUGGUUUCUAUUGUUGGUCCAAGCUUCAAAAAUAAAAGUUUGAUAGAAACGUUGAAAGGUAAAGGACACCCAAAGAAGCACAAAUAAUCAUUGUGCUUGGUUUGGUUUGUACAUAAUAGUCUUUGGGCGAGAGACGUUAACAACAAGAUAAGCCCCGAUUUUAAUAAAUAUCUCCGAGGAUCUUGAGGCAUUUAACAACUAUCCUUAGGGUUAUGAAAGUUUCAAAAUGACUCUCAAAUUUUUGACCCCGUUAACGCCAAAGACAGUUAACUUAUAUGGCUUUCCAUGGGCCUUCAUGGUAAAUAUUUCUUUUAUCAUGAUAUGAUUCAUUAUUUUUUAUUCAAUAAUGCUUUUGAUUUAUUGGCGUUAUGUUAUAGGCUUGGGCAUUUGAAGUCAUUCCUUAUUUGAGACAACAAGUGAACUACCAGGAAGAAGUUUUCUGUCCAAGAAUUCUGAGAUGGUUGUCGUCCAAAACUGAUAAAAAUAUAAGGUUUUUUUAUCUUUUCCACCCUCCAAAGGAAGCAGUAAGUCCAAUUCUAAUCAAGUUUUUCUUUUAAUUAAUGAUUAUUUUAAAUGAUUUCAUCAUCAUCAUCCUAAUAUAUGUACUGAUUUAUUUUAGAUUGUCCAUCUAUGGCUUGUUCCGACCAACUGAGAGUUAAAGAUGCCCUUUUUUCUUACUUUACGGGCUGUGCAAACUUUAUCGAACCCUAAGGUCAUUGAUGGAAUAAAAAUAGAAUUGUUAGGAGUAACAACCAUCAGAAGAAAAAUAAUUUUGGAGGGUGGACUUGUUGCUGUUGAUGAUGAUAGUGGUGCUGCUGUUGGGGCUAAUGAUGCUCCUCUUAUAGUUUUUGAAACAAAAAGCCAUUAUGAUUAUGAUCAUACAGGUUGUACAAAUUUUUCUUCAGAUUUUGCUACAUCUAGCGAAUGUUUUGCAUGCAAAUGUCAAGACUGCAAGGCAAAACACGAUGAGGUGAUUAAUACACUAACUGCUUCUGUAAAGAAAAUAACAUCUAAGAGGGGUGUUAUUCUAUCAAAGAGGAUUUCAUGUCCAUACAUUCCACUAGAGAUCAAGGUGGCUAAGAGGAGAAGGAAAAAUACUUCUAAGGCAUUAUCAAGCAUAAAAAAAAGCAAAAUUGCAAUGCCUCUAUCUUUGUCUUGCACUGUUGUUUAGUGUGCAAGGGUCAUAGGAGAGCUGCAUGAGCCGAAGAAGGUGAAUGUACAUCAUCUGUUCCAACAAAUAAACAGUCACAUAUUUGUUUCAACAACGGAUACAUCUGCUAAAAAUUAUCAAACAAAUAUAUAUAUCUGUUGCAACUGUUGUCUAACCUAUUGCAUCAGAUGCGUUAUCUGUUGCAAAAGAUGAGUCGUAUGUUGCAACAGAUGGGUCAUCUGUUCGAAAUUAUCGUACUACUCUAAUUUACCUAUUCAAAUUCAUCCCAACAGAUGAUCCAUCUGUUGUAAUAUAAGGCUCAUCUAUUGCAAUAGAUGGACAAUCUGUUGUAUAUCUGUAAUUAGCAUUGAUAAUUUUUGGCUUUCCAGGUGGAUGUCACAGUAGAAGCCACUACUAAAAAUCAUAAUAUCACAGUUGAUAAUCCAUCAACUGCUUCCAAAAAAAGAAGAAAAAGUGGAGCCUGUCAGUUCGGGAGAACGACAGAUUACCCAUUUGAAGGGUUUAACAUCUUGGAUGAGGAUCCAAAAAAACUAACACAGUUGAUCAACGACUAUUCAGAAUGGAUUGCCGAUGGGCUAUUAAAGCAUCAUGCCGGUAGGUACAUAAAUCAAUUUAUAAAGAUAUUGGUUUAUAUGAUUCUUGUUGUAAGAACGUGACAUUAAUACAUAUAAAUAAUCAUGUAGAUAACAAAAUGAUGAAUGCUACAAAGUGAACGAAUCGAGUCUUAGUGUUGAUAUGUUCGACUUUGUUGUUGCAUAUCCCGAAAUGAAGAAUUGAUUCUAUUUAAUGUCACAGCCCCAAACUUGCUGGAAUGAUGAAGUUUAAAUGCCAUACAUAUUACUAUUAAUUAAUACUUUAUUUAAUUGCAUCUUCGUAUUGAUUUUUUUGUCACGUAAUUCAAAAUGUUUGAUAAUAUGCACAGCACAUCGAUGCCAUUUUUUACUACCUCUGAAAGAAGGCCAAGUUGCAAACACAAGACUAAUACAGAUACACGACCGACAAUAGUUUGUAUAAAGUUUACAUAAAUAAUGCCUGCGAUAGGUAUUGUCAACAACAACUGAAAGUUUAUUGAAAUGAGGAAUGCUUAAUCAACAUCAUCAAAGGUUUUGGUAUUCCGGCUGAAUUACCUUGACAUUUGAUCGACGAAGUGUACAUCCCAAUAAAUUAUGGUAAUGAAUUCCAUUGGGUGUUGGUUGUCGUCAUUCUAAAAGAGAGGCGCAUCCGAGUUUAUGACUCAAUAUCGCGAAGGAGAUGUUUCGGGCCGUCGUCUGAGACAUGUUGUAUCUCAGACGAUACAAUAUUGUACAUUAAACCCAUUUGAUGUACAAUAUGUUGAAUGAAUUGCUCAACAAACCAUUGGUAGCCUAUAAGUUUAAAUGUCAUGAUUUAGUUUCAUUUCACAAAUUUCACAACGCUUGCAUGAAUGGCAAGCUGUGUAUUAGCUAUUUUUUUAAAACACAGUGAUUGCGGUCUUUUUGUUGCCGCGUACGCCGAGUAUUUGAGCGAUGGAUUACAAGUACCAAAUGAUGGACUUGAUGCCGGAUUACUCCAUAAAAAAUAUGCUGCUUUUAUGGAAAUACGGAGAAGCGAAAGCUCAAAAGCCGUACACAAGCAACAUUAAAGAUCCACGACAACCAAAGUCGAAUUCCGCAGUACCGGAUGAAGAACAACUUGUCCAUAUUGAGUAGAUCCUUAUAGCUUGAGUCCGUCAAUGUAAUAAUCUAUCUUCCUUGGUUUAACUAGUUUAUUUAUUUGUAGAGUACAUCAUUUGUACCCAUAAUAUUUUUUUAUAUUUCAUUUAUUUGUUAAGUUAUUUCAUGUAAUUUUCGAAAGCUUCAACUUAUUUUAUGUUGUCUAUGAAUAUAAUUUAAUCCUUAGUUUUGAACAGGUUAAUUGAAAUGGAAUACUAGAAUCAAAUAUCGCAACAGAUAAUAUAUCUGCAGCAACAGACGACAUAUCUAAUCAAAUAGAUUUAGACAUAUGUUGCAACAUGAGAUGCAAUAUGUAGUCCAUCUACUGGAAAUUAUAUAACAGGUCUUCCUACUUUCUUGAUUUUUUCUAACAGAUUACCUAUCAUUUGUAAUAGAUAGAUUAUAUGUUGCAAUAGAUUGAAUAUCUGUUAUGACAGACAGACUGGGAAACAUCUAUUAAUGCAACAGAUGACCAACCUAUUCCAACAGAUAAUCAAUCACAACAGGUAUUAUAUCUGUUACAACAGAUAUAUUAUCUGUUGCAUUAUAAAAAUUCAACUUGGCCAGUAUAAAAAUUAUUGCCACUACAUGUAAAGUGAAGUGGCUUGAAAUGAAAAAUUAUUAUCGUAUUCGUCUCCGUCUUUAUACAUAUUCUUCUUUAUACACGGGCACAAACCAUUUGGUUAGUACCUCAUAAGCCCAGACCCAUUGUAUCUUUCCCAAAAUGACGUCACAUAUAUCGUUCAUUUCUGUACCGAUCAGCAAACACUCGAUGUAUGCAAGCGAGUACGGCCCGCAUGAUGCACCAGUUUUAAUUUUUGGUUGCUGGAUGUUCUUAUUUCGACCUUCAAAAUCCCAUGAUUCCUUCAUCAAGACUUCAGCCAGCAAAUGAUCCAUCAGCUUACUUUGUGUCAAUAACUUGGGCAAUAACUUCAAGAGUGGCUGCAUGUGGGCUAAAAACGUAUCCUCACUGAAGACAGGUAAGUUGCAGUCAUACACCUUAAUCUUUCCCUCGUGGAGUAGUAUCUCAACAACUAGAAAAUGUUUGACUUCCACGUUCAUGACUGCAAGGAUUCUCUUUGCCUUGGUCCAGCUCUUGCCAUGUGGAUAUGUCCUCUUCCCUCUAACAUAUUUAAUCGCUUCUUCAUCCCAUUGGAAUGUAGAAACUAACCUAUCAAAUCCCAAGCCACCGGAAUUAGCUAGCUUACAGAGAUCAGCGUUCCUAUUCUUCAAAUUGUUGUAGAAGUUGAGGUUCAUUAUCCUAUCGGUAGCAUCAUAAGCAUUCGGGUACACUAAUUGCCUACCCCUCAUGAGGCAGAGAUUUUCAUCAAAAUACUUUGCUAUAAGAAGAUAAUUUUUAAAUAAGUUAGUAAUUGUAUCGAAUAAAAAUACAGUGGAAAGAAUUCAAUGCAGAGGGUUCUCUGAAUCAAUUCACAGAUUACCCAGCCAACACAACUUAUGCAACAGAUGUGUAUUAUGUUGCAAAAGAAUACCAAGAUGUUGCAACAUAUUACACAUCUGCUGCGUAGAUUCUUGUUCAUGGAGUAGAUUGGAAGGCUAGGUUAGCAAAAGUAAACUUACAUUGUCCUCAUACCACUCACACAUAUUUGUCAUAUUCGUGAAGUCUUUGGCGGCAAAUGAAUGCAUAGUGUAUUCUUUUCGAACCUUCAUCCUUCCAUUCAUUAUUUCUUGCAGUUCCUUAUUCUUCUCUUUGCCAAGUGCUGCGAAUAUGUCCACCUUCUUCAGCGGACCCUAAACUUCAACAACUCUUGGAGUGGGAGGAGUUGCAAUUUUUGCUAUUUUCAGAACGGAGAGAAUUUGUCUAAUUUUUCUUAUCUUCCUUCUAACCGCCACUGUAGGAGCGCAUAGCUUCCUCACCUCGUUGGAUGGUAUGACACCCCUUCUGGAUUUCAACUCCUCGGCAGCUUCAGCAAUAGCCUCUAGCUUUUCAAGGAGUUUAUCCUCUCUGUCCUUGCACACUUUGCAUUUGCAAUGAGAACAUGAGGGUGAAGAGGGUGAGAGAGACCACUGUAAGGGUGGGAGAGACCGGUGUAAGGGUGAGAGGGGCCUGUGAAAGAGGUAUUUUCAAAAGUAUUUAUUUUUUGCUGAGCACCAACAUGCUCAUAAUCACGACUAGCAGCAGCAACAACAUCAGGAUGGCUUCCACCAUCAUAAACAACUCCACCAGCAGCACCCCCUGAAGAAGCACCCGGAUCUAUUGCAGUUUAAGGUUGGUCGUGAAGAGCUUCAACAUUAGGCUGACCUUGCUUAACUUCUCUUCUUAUGGAUGUUGCUCCCAACCAAUUUCUUCCUUAUUAAAUCCACCGUUGGAUCUUCUUUUGUAUCAACAAGACCCAGAGUAAGAAAAGAAGUCAUUCGCAGCUUAUCAACGGUAGGCACGAUCUAAGGAUGCAUAACUUAUAAAAAAGACAGGAGACAUUUAAAUCAUAUAAUGAUAAUUUGCAAACAGUUGGGUUAAAUGGAUGUUAACAUAACCAACUUAUGCAACAGACAAUCUAGCUGCCGCAAUAGCUAAUCUGUAUGUCACAACAGAUUGACAAUAUAUUGCAUCAAAUUACAUAUUUAUUGCAUAAUUUGCAUCAGAUGGGUAAUCUGUUGAGUCGGGUUUAGAAAACCAGAGCAAAAAAUGGUUAAUCUGUUGCAAAAUAUGGAUCGUUUGUCAUAACAAAUUACCCAUCUAUUGCACCAGUUGUAGUUGAUGGGUAAUCCGUUGCAACAGACGACCCAUCUGUCGCAGCAUAUGGUAUAUUUAUUUUAAUAUCUUUCUUUGAGGUAAAUUAUUUUAGUUGAAAGAAGACGUACUGCAUCAUCUGGAGGGUUAAAAAGAUCAGCCUCCUUAAUAUAUUUUUUCCUGUUCUUUGUUGCAGCCAACCACCUAAGGAUCCUUGGAUAAGAAACCUUAUCCGGGUAAUCCUUGAACUGCUUUUGGAGGGAAGGAAUGGCUUCACAUGCCCCAGCCUAAAAAAUGUAAACAGAAAGCAAGCAAAAAAAAGUCAUAAUAACUAUAUUCAAUAUAAAUUAAUGGAUGAGUAAAAAUAGUGAUCAAUUUUAUCAUGAAAGCCCAGGAAAAGCCGUAUAAUGUGAUCAUCUUUGGGGAUAGUUUUGUCAGUAAAUAUUCGACAGUCAAGUAGUAGCUGUCAUAUCCCCAGGAAUAGUCGUUGAAUUUCCCAAUAUCAUCAGCAAGUGACAACAAAUCAUGUUUUAUGACUUUUCUGACGUCUCUUGCCAAUAAAACGAAAUGGACAAACCAAACUAAGUACAAUUUCUCCCUAUAGUGCUUUGGUAUAUUUUUAUUCUCGAGAUCUACCAUCAAAUCCUUCCCUUCGUAGCUAGGUCCAACAAUGUCGAACAACCUAUACCUUUUUACCUUGCAUUUAUUGGACCCUUUGUGGGGUGUUUCCUUGAUAAGAGGUUCUUCUGGACGGUCGGAUCUCAAGUCCGUCACUAUGACAAACUCUUUCAAUCCAAAAUAAACCGAUAUGCCAUAGUAGUUGAUCCAGACUUCAUCCAUUUUUUUCUGCCCUCCUUUGAAUCUUUAUCAUCCCUCACAUACUUGAUCCUGCGAUUGAGAAGGCCAUAUACCAUGCUUAUUGGGAAACAUAAAGUGUGGUCCUCAAACAGCUCGAGAAAGUAUGCAAAACAACUUUUAUUAAAAAGUCCAUCUAUGUUUUCAUUCUUUAUAAUACUCCUAAGUUUGUCAAAAGGUUUCCCCAACUGAUAUUUAAGUAUAAGAUCACCAAAUAUUGCGUUAGGGCUAUUCAACGGCAUUGCAACUCGAAACUUAUCAAUACUAAUGAUUUUGACAAAAUCAUGCUGGGAUUUCGAUAUUAUUUCACGCCCCAUUGGUGAAAGGAGUUAUCACUUUCUUCAGAUUUAUUUUGCCCUAACUGAGAUUGUUUUGGAAGUUCCUCCAAAUCUAUCUAUACUCUAGACUUUUUUGUUUGGUGAUCAGAAGUUGAUCCACUUUCAGUUUUUUUUUGGGAGACAUCUUUUAACUACAGACAAUAAAAAAACAAAAAAUACAUUGCAUUUGAUAUCUGCAUAAUUUUUUAAAAAAAGGUAAGACAAAUUUUAAUAAACUAUUCUACGCCACAUUACAAAAAAAUACUCCAACGGAUAACCCAUCAGUUGAAACAGAUGGAAAAUCUAUUUGAAGACCUAUUUAAUAUCUUCCAAUAGAUCUUCCACCCGUUACAACAGAUGGACCACCACCACCACAACCAAUGCCACCAAGACCACCACCAAUGCCACCAAUACCAACACCAAGACCACCGAUACCACCACUACCAACCACCAAUAAUACUACAAACACCAUCCAACAAUACUAAACAGUCAACAAAACACUGAGACAAAAACUAGGGUUUUUUCGAGUGCUUCAUACUUUUUAGCAUCAAAACACAAAAUUGCUAACCCAUUCUCGAAGAUAAUACAACUAAAAGUCUUCUUUUUCAUCAUUAACUAAAAAUUCCUAAUUUUUAAAAUUAAGAACAAAUGUAGAACUCUUCUCGAACUCUGUUGCCUGUGAAGAUAGAGAAAACAAUGAAUACAAACGAGAAUGAAGUCGAAAAUAACAACUAUAUGAUAAAAAAUUAGAAGAAAAUCGAUCUAUUUUGAAGGGUUGAGCAAUAUGUUGAAUAGUUGUUGUCUGUAUUAUUGAGAGAGAGAGAAGCAAUAACUUGAGAUUUGAAAUGAGGAAAAGUUUUUCCCCCAAAUGGAUGAUUUGUAUGGGUUGAUUUGUAAUUUUGGAAAAGAAUGAGAAGUUUUGAAAUUGUUAAUGUGAUCCGAAUUGAUCUUAAUUAAUUUUAAAAAUUUCAAAAUAUAUAGUUUUUAAAAUAUUAAGUUAAUGAAAAUUCAUUUCAACUCUGAGCGAUUGAUCGACUUGAGUUGGAAUGAAUGCAAUACCAACACCAUGCAAAUGGAACGACUCAAUUAAAAUUGUUGUUGACCCUGUGAGCUUAUUCAUUCAUCCCUAAUUCCACCUAAAUCAAUUUAGGUACUAUUAAUCUUAUCAUUAAGUUAAUGAGAACUCAUUUCAACUUCGAGUGAUCGAUCGACGAUUCGGGUUGGGAUGAACUCAAUACCAAUACCAUGCAAAUACAAUGACUCAAUUGAAAUUGUUGUUGACCUUGUGAUCUUAUUCAUUCAUCCCUAGUUCCACCUAAAUCAAUUUAGGUACCAUUAAUCUUAACAUUACGUUAAUGAGAACUAAUUUCAACUCCAAGUGAUUGAUCGAUGACUCGGGUCGGGAUAAACACAAUUCCAAUACCAUGCAAAUGCAACGACUCAAUUGAAAUUGUUGUUGAUCUUGUGAGCUCAUUCAUUCAUCCCUAGUUCCACCUAAAUAAAUUUAGGUACUAUUAAUCUUAACAUUAAGUUAAUGAGAACUUAUUUCAACUCUGAGUGAUCGAUCGACGACUUGGGUCAGGAUGAACGCAAUAAAAACACCAUGCAAAUACAAUGACUCAAUUGAAGUUAUUGUUGAUCCUGUGAUUCAUUCAUCCCUAGUUCCACAUAAAUAAAUUUAGGUACUAUUAAUCUUAACAUUAAGUUAAUGAAAACUCAUUUCAACUCUGAGUGAUCGAUUGACGACUCGGGUCGGGAUGAACGCAAUACCAAUACCAUACAAAUACAAUGACUCAAUUGAACUUGUUAUUGACUCUGUGAACUCAUUCAUUCAUCCCUAGUUCCACAUAAAUAAAUUUAGGUACUAUUAAUCUUAAAAUUAAGUUAAUGAGAACUCAGUUCAACUCCGAGUGAUGAUCGACGACUCAGGUCAGGAUGAACGCAAUACCAACACCAUGCAAAUACAACGAUUCAAUUGAAGUUGUUGUUAACCCUGUGAGAUUAUUCAUUCAUCCCUAGUUACACCUAAAUCAAUUUAAGUACUAUUAAUAUUAACAUUAAGUUAAUGAAAACUCAUUUCAACUCCAAGUGAUCGAUCGACGACUCGGGGCGAGAUGAACGCAUUACCAACACCAUACAAAUACAACGAAUUAAUUAAAGUUGUUGUUGACCCUGUGAGCUCAUUCAUUCAUCCCUAGUUCUACCUUAAUUAAUUUAGGUACUAUUAAUCUUAACAUUAAGUUAAUGAUAACUCAUUUCAACUUCGAGUGAUCGAUCGACGACUCGGGUUGGGAUGAACACAAUACCAACACCAUACAAAUACAACGACUCAAUUGAAGUUGUUGUUGAUCCUGUGAGCUCAUUCAUUUAUCCAUAGUUCUACCUAAAUAAAUUUAGGUACUAUUAAUCUUAACAUUGAGUUAGUGAGAACUUAGUUCAACUCCGAGUGAUCAAUCGAUGACUUGGGUCGGGAUAAACGCAAUACCAACACUAUGAAAAUACAACGACUUAAUUGAAGUUGUUGUUAACCCUGUGAGCUUAUUCAUUCAUCCCUAGUUCCACCUAAAUCAAUUUAGGUACUAUUAAUCUUAAAAUUAAGUUAAUGAGAACUCAUUUCAACUCCAAGUGAUCGAUCGACGACUCGGGUCGAGAUGAACGCAUUACCAACACCAUACAAAUUCAACGACUCAAUUAAAGUUGUUGUUGACCCUGUGAGCUCAUUCAUUCAUCCCUAGUUCUACCUUAAUCAAUUUAGGUACUAUUAAUCUUAACAUUAAGUUAAUGAUAACUCAUUUCAACUUCGAGUGAUCGAUCGACGACUCGAGUCGGGAUGAAUGCAAUACCAAUACCAUGCAAAUACAAUAACUCAAUUGAAGUUGUUGUUGACCCUGUGAGCUCAUUCAUUCAUCCCUAGUUCCACCUAAAUCCAUUUAGGUACUAUUAAUAUUAACAUUAAGUUAAUGGGAACUCAUUUCAACUCAGAGUGAUCGAUCGGAGACUCCAACUCAGAGUGAUCAAUCGGCGACUCGGGUCGGGAUGAAUGCAAUACCAAUUCAUCCCUAGUUCCACCUAAAUCAAUUGCAAUGAAAACUGUUGUAACAAAUGACUGAGCUAUUGGAUAUUUUCAAACCGAUAAUCAUAUCUGUUGCUACAGAUGACAUAUCUGAUUUAAUUAUCAAAUAGACAUUUGCAUCUAUUAUGAUAGAUGACUGAGCUGUUGGAAAUUUUCAAACAGAUAGUGAUAUCUGUUGUAACAAAUAACAUAUCUGAUUUAGUUAUCAAAUAAAAUUUUGCAUCUGUUGUCACAGAUGACUGAGCUGUUGGAAUUUUUCAGACAGAUAUUUAUAUCUGUUGCAACAAAUGACAUAUCUAUUUGAAUUUUUUUCUUUUAAUUUUAAAGCAAGCUUCUGUUCGAGUAGAUAAAUUAGUAGUAUUAAAGGCGGUAAAAAAAAUAUUUCUUGGAUAACUCAAAAAUCUCAUUGAGUAGUCUUGUUUUGUCUUUUUAAUGUCACCCAUUUUCUUCCCCGUACCCCUCAAAUUAUUAAUGAAUAUUAAUCAUGAAUAUUGAAACCCCUAAUACUUCUUCCAUUUAAUAUUAGUUGGCCCCUAUUGACUUGGCACACCCAUUAAGAAAAUAUUAAUUAGGGGUUUGUUUUACCAAAUUAGCCUUAUUAAUUAUGUUUUGAAAAUAUAAAUUUGAAUAAAUAAACUUUGUUUGUCAUUAAUAUUAAGGGUAGUACAUCUAGAAAUUAAAAUUGUCUCAUCUCUCCUUCAGCCCUAAAUUUAUUUUAUUUAUCUCUCAUUUUUUUCUUUCUCUCCUCUUUAGGGUUAUCACAACCUUUUUUCUCUCCUCUUUCUUAUAAAUAUCCUUUCGGAUCUAAACCGAUCCAUAUCUUAGAUUCCUCGACUGAAAUUGCUGUUUUGAUUUCUUUUUGACAUUAAGGUAUGGUUCACUAUUACUCUUUUAUUCUCGUUUUCUUCUUUGCAAGUUAUUUACAUCUAUUUUUUUUAUUUAGUUACCAUUUAUUCAUAUCAUAUUUAUUUAGAAAAUUUGAAAGAACUUUUUAUUGUUGAAUAAACAAACCGAGAAUUUUUAUUACAAUAUGCGAAAAAGCCAUAUGUUGGGAGAAGUUUAAAAGCCUUGUUGGCAGUAUCAUUUUUUUGUAUGUAUUUUAUUUGUUUCGUUGUUGUUGAUGCUGUUAUUGAUGUUGUUGGUGGGGUUAGCGUUGUUGGAAUUUAUGGUGUGGUGUCGUUGAUGGUGUUAGAACAUAGAAUGUUGGUUCUUUGUUAUUGAUGAUGUUGUUGGAACAAAUAUUAUUGUUUUCUUUGUUGUUGAUUUUUUUAUUUGUUGUUUCUUUGUAGUUUAUGUUGUUGUUGAUGUUGCAACAGACAGAGCAACUGUUGGAACAAAUCAACUCACCAGUAAGGCUGGUUUGAUGUAUUCCAAUAGACUCCACAUCUAUUGCAACAGACUCUACAUCUGUUGCAAUAGACUUCAUAUCUAUGGCAUCAGACUCCACAUCAGAUGUAAUAGACUCCUCAUCAGAUGCAACAGACUUUACAUCUAUUGUAAUAGAUGGAUAAUGUUCUUUCUGUGACAUUAAUUUUUUCCUGUUCUUUGUAGAUAUAAGAAAUUGAAAGUUGAUCAACUUUUGUUUGACGAUCAUAAGAGGCUAUAGUAAAGACGGGUUUGGAGGAAUAAGCUCUAUGCAGAUGGAACCACAUCAUAUGUGGGAGGUAUGUAUUACUAAUAAUGUUAUCGCACAUAGAAUAUACUAAUUUUGUGAAUGCCGUUUUUACCGAUUAGUCAUAGAUCAUUCAAACAAAAUAUCUGUAAUUUUAUAGUUAAGUUUGGUAGGUUUGAACUGAUAAGGUUGAGGGACCAUGAAUAUGGUUCUGAUACCCUAUUAAGAUUUAAUGUCGGUUGUUGCUCCUGUUUAUUUGUCAAGCAUUGUGAAACGAUCUAGUUUUGGUGUCAUUGUAAAGAGAUUCAAUAUCGAUUGGACUAACUUUUAGGGUGUAUUGGACUCUGAGAAGGCCUUUGAAGCUUAGCACUGCAUCUAACAAGAACAAAAAACUAGUCUAGUUAUUGACCAAGCCUAAAUUUAUAUGGUUGGGUUGCUUGGGGUGAUGAUUAUACGCUAGAAGUUGCGGUAGAAGAAUGCCUUCGAGGGAAAAUGAGUGGUCGAUGAAAGACUAUAUCACCUGAGAGCUAAUUGAAGAGGAUACAUAGGGUAGAAAGUAACUUCUAGCGAAUCUGACCAAUGAAAUUAUCUUAAAACAUGAGAAAUCUGUAUCAAGUGCAAAUAUAAAAGUGUAUCCGGUAAUAAAAAAUCCGUCUGUUAUUUAUCUAAAAGAAAAAUAGUGCAUACGAUCACUUUACUAGGAAGCUACGGCUAGGUAGCGUGGCCGGGAUUAUCACCUAGAUAGAAAAUAACAGAAGACCAAGAAAGCAGCCUUAAGGGAAUCGAGGGUUGAAAUGAUGUACAAUAAGUCUUGAAAACUUACGCCAACAGCAACUGCAGUUAAAGUAAGGAAUCUAAGCGAAGGUGGUAAUUUUUGAAUUUUAAAUUGCAUCUCAUGCCUUCUUGUUUGUGGUUUCGAUCAGGUCCACUGCUGUUGACCUAAUCAGAACCACAAACGUGAUUGAAAGGAAGAUUGAGUGUCACUACUUCCUUAGCAAUAUGGUUAUAAUUGAUUGUGUUUUCUAUCCUUAGCAUGCUUUCAACAUUCCUUGGAGAAGAUUAGAGGCUUGAUGUAGUAUGCGAAUCCUGAUAUAUUUCAAGCUUGCCUCCAGCUUGCUGAUUCUGUAUUCAAGUUUAUUGUUGCCAUCUUUGAAGUUGGUCAAGAGUUCCUGAUCUCUUGUGAGAUAGAUCAGGAACACCACCUUUAAAGUUGUGGCAUUUUAGAAGGCCUUCAGAACACUUUCUUCAGAAUCCUUAAAAGUACAUGGAGGGUCAUUGUGUAUAUUUUUAGGUCAAAAUGUGUUGAUGCACAGUGAAGAUGUGGUCCCAACAGUUGAAUAGCUCACUUUUAUUGAGUGUUGCUCAACCAUCCUUUAAGGAAUUUGUUAAAUUAAUAAUCAAGGAGUUAGUAAUGUUUGAUCUAAACUGACUCUACCAAGCCUAUCAAACGUUAUGUAAUUUGAGGCUCAAUACCCUAUCAAAAAACUUUGCCCUAGUUGGUGGACAAAUCAAACGAGAUCAUCUCUCAGCCUUUCUGUUGAUCGCUCUUCUCCAAUUAUUGAUGAUAAGAUAUCCACCAUCCAAAAAUCUACACCGUCAGCAGAAAUACUUGUCAUAACAAAAGUCUUCAGAAGGGAUGACUAGUAAUCUCUCAAAACCAAAUGAUAUUGAGAGACUAUUAGUCAUUCCUUCUAAAGACUUUCAUUCUGGCAAGAAUCUUUGUUGAUGAUAAGAUAUCCACCAUGCAAAAGUCUACAUCAUCAACAGAAAUGCUUUGCCACACCGAAAAUCUUCAGAAGGCAUGACUAGUAAUCUCUCAAGACAAAAAAAAUUGUAACUCCUCUGUCUUGCACUAUUGAGAAAUGUAAAAAUGUCAUAGAAGAACAACAUGAGCUGAAAAAAGUGAAAACAUAAAUAGGGGAGGAAUAAGGUGCGUACAGAGUUUGUUUAGGACAAACUGCAUUCAGUUGGUCCUUUCUAUUUACGUUCUCACUUUUUUCAGCUCAUGUUGUUCUUCUGUGGACUUUGUACAUUGCUCAAUAGUGCAAGACAGAGGAGUUGCAAUAUUUUUGUGUUGAGAGAUUACUAGUCAUGCCUUCUGAAGACUUUCGGUGUGGCAAAGCAUUUUUGUUGAUGAUGUAGACUUUUGCAUAGCGAAUAUCUUGUCAUUAACAAAGAUUCUUGCCAGAGCGAAAGUCUUUAGAAGGCAUGACUAAUAGUCUCUCAAUAUCACUUGGUUUUGAGAGAUUACUAGUUAUCCCUUCUGAAGACUUUUGUUGUGACAAGUAUUUCUGCUGACAGUGUAGACUUUUGGAUGGCGGAUAUCUUGUCAUCAAUAAUUGGAGAAGAGCGACCAACAUAAAGGCUGAGAGAUUGAUCUCGUUUGAUUUGUCCACCAACUCGAGCAAAGUUUUUUGAUAGGGUAUUAAGCCUCGAGUUACGUAACAUUUGAUAGGCUUGGUAGAGUUAGUUUAGAUCAAACGUUACUAACUCCUUGCUUACUAAUUUAACAAAUACCUUGAAGGGUGGUUGAGUAACACUCGAUAAAAGUGAGCUAUUUAACUGUUGGGACCACAUCUUCACUGUGCAUCAACAUAUUUUGACCAAAAAACAUCCACAAUAACCCUCCAUGUAUCCUUUAAUGCUUUUGAAGAAAGUGUUCUGAAGGACUUCUAAAAUGCCACAACUUUGAAGGUGGUGUUCCUGAUCGAGCUCACAAGAGAUCAGGAACUCUUGACCAACUUUGAAAAUAACAAUGACAAGCUUGAAUACAGAAUUAACAAGCUAAAGUCAAGCUUAAAAAUUAUCGAGAUUUACAUACUACAACAAGCCUUUGAUUUUCUCCAAGGAAUAUUGAAAGCAUGCUAAGGCUAGAAAACACAAUCAAUUAUAACAAUAUUGCUAAGAAAGUAGUGACACUCAAUAUGUCUUUCAAUAACGUUUGUGGUUUCGAUCAGGUCAACAACAUUGGACCUGAUCAGAACCAUAAAUAAGAAGGCAUGAGAUGCAAUUUAUAAUUCAGAAAUUGUCGCCUUCGCUUAGAUUCCUUACUUUAACUGUAGUUUCUGUUGGCGUAAGUUUUCUAGACAUACUGUACAUCAUUUCAACCCUUGAUGCCCUUAAGGCUUCUUUCUUGGUCUUCUGUUAUUUUUUAUCUUGGUGAUAAUCCCGACCACGCUACCUAGUCGGAACUUCCUAGCAAAGUAUUCAUCUGCAUUAUUUAACUUUCAGAGAGACAACAAACGAAUUUACAUUAUCUGAUACACUUUCAUAUUUGCACUUGAUUCGAAUUUCUCAUGUUUUAAGAUAAUUCUAUCAGCCAGAUUUGCUAGAAGUUACUUUCUACCCUAUGUCUCUUCUUCAAUUAGCUCUCAGAUGAUAUAGUCUUUCAUUAACUUACCUUUCCCUCGCAAGUAUUCUCCUUCGGCUUCUUCUGGCGUAUAAUUAUCUUCUCAAUCAACACUUCCAUAUAAAUUUGGGCCAGGGGAAUUUCUAUUGAUUUUCGGUUCUUGUUUGAUGCAGUGCAAGGCUUCGAAGGUGUUCUCAGAGUCCAAUGCACACUUAAAGUUAAGUCCAAUCGCUAUUGGUUCUCUGCAAUGACACCAAAUAUUGAUCCCUUCUCAAAAUUUGACACGCAUAAACACGAGCAACAACCGUCAGUAAUUCAUAAUAGGGUAUCUGCACCAUCUUCAUGAGGCCCUCAUCCUUAUCAAUUCGAACCCAUCAAACUUAGCUGUACAGUGCAGGAUCUUGUUUGAAUGAUCAGUGCCUAAUCGGUUAAAAACUGCAUUCACAAAAAUAUUGUACUUUGUGUGUCUUAUCCCGGUGACCUUAUCAGUAAUACUUCUUAACUCACACAUAUAUGAUAGUGGAUCCAUCUACAUGCAUCUUAUUCUUUCUAGCCCAUUUAUGGCUUAAAUUAAAUAAACAGAUGACUAGCAAGUUGCAACAAAUGCCACAUCUAUUGGAAAAGAAAAUUUAUAUAUCCAUCUGUUGCAACAGAUUAUCAAUAUGUUGUAAGUUAUCUGAUAGAUGGAAUAUAUUUUGUAACAGGUUACCCAUCUGUUAGAUUUAUUUUAAAGCAAGUUUCUUUUCUUUCUGAAAUACAAUAAAAAAAUAAAAUAUUGUAUUUAGAUCUAUUGUUUAAUUUACAUAAUCUUUUUUUAAUUUACAUAUUCAAAAAUUCACCAAUUUUAUUUAAUUAAGGGGUAUGAACAGUCGUGAUUUUUUGUUUGACUUAGUCACCCCUUCCAAUUCAAUCAUUUUAUAAAUAGGUCUCUCCGACCUCCUCUCACUCGUUCAUUCUACUACACUUACAACACAAAUAUGGCUGAUCCAGAUUCGUAUAAGAAGAUUUAUAUCGAGUCCUUACAGGAACUUCAAAGGCAGUUUGAUGAACUCUAGAGGGAUUUGACUGACUUUAGAGAAAGGCUGAGGAGGGCCCUGCUAUUGCCGGAUGAAAAUUGUCCGGUUGACAAUACUAAUACUACUACUACUAAUAAUAAUAGUAAUGAUAAUAAUAAUAGUAGUAAUAAUAAUUAAGUUAUGUUUUGUUUUCUCUUAGCGUAUGUAUGUAUUUUCCUUCUUUUGUAUAUCGGAUGUACCCAAGGGAUUCAAAAAUCUAUAUUUGGUGGUUGACUUUGAAUUUUUAAUUUUUAUUUAGUAUUUAAUUAUCAUUCUUGCUUAUUUCUUAUUCUCAACAUGUCGACAGAGGUUAAUCUGAUGCGACAGAUUGAUCAUAUGUUGCAACAUGUGGUUAUUAAUAAAAAGGGUUAUUGUUAUUGAGAGGGUGAAAAGACUUGACUUUUCGAUUAUUUAAUAUGAAAAAUAAUUCGUAAAUAAAUAAUAAACACAAUUUAUAACCGUAACAGAACGGUUAUUUAAUUUUAAUAACUGAUCGUGACUCUUCGACAUAUUUAUUUUUAAAUCAAUUUUUUAAUUUAUAUAAUAAAAGUCACCAAAUUUUGAUUAAAGAUAUGUUGAUUAUUAAAAAAGAUAGGAAGCAGAUAUAUUAUAUGAUGCAACAGUUUGUAGAUUUGUUGCAACAAAUGGUAUAUCUGUUACAAUUCAAAAAAAUGGUUAAUGAAAAGAACUUAUCAAGUCACAACUUUCCACAGUAAUAAAAAAGUCACUAGUAUUAAUAAAUGGAGGUGAAUAUUCCCUCCUUUUUUAUUUUUGAAUUUAUUUUUUUAAUUUAUAUAAUAAUAAAAAAGUCACUAAAUUUGGAUUAAAGAUAAAGAUAUGAUGAUUAUUAAAAAGAUAUAUGUUGCAACAGAUCAUAGAUUUGUUGCAACAAAUGGUAUAUCUGUUGUCACAGAUGGAUUAUCUGAUGCAACAGAUAAAAAUGAUCGCUGAAAAGAACUUAUCAAGUCAAAACUUUCCACAGUAAUAAAAAAAUCACCAGUAUUAAUAAAUGGAGGUGAACAAUCGCGCCUUUUUAUUUUUGAAUCUAUUUUUUAAUUUAUUUGAUAAAAAAGUCACCAAAUUUGAAUUAAGGAUAAAGAUAUGCUGAUUAUUAAAAAGAUAUGUGUUGCAAUAGAUAUAUCUGUUGGAUUAUCUAUUGCAACAGAUCACAGAUUUGUUGCAAUAAAUUUUAUAUCUGUUGUCACAGAUGGGUUAUUUGAUGCAACAGAUAUAUAAUCUGUUGUCACAACUCAAAACAACGAUUACUGAAAAGAAUUUUAUCAAGUCACAACUUUCCACAGUAAUAAAAAAGUCACCAGUAUUAAUAAAUAGAGGUGAACAGUCACGCCUUUUUACCUAGCUCAUUCAAAUUCAAUCCUCUAUAAAUAUGUCCUUCCUUACUCGUUCAUUCUACUACACAUAUCUAUUUAUUUCUAGCUCUUGUCUUUCAUAUUACACCUUCAACUACUUUCUCUUCAAGAACUUGAUUGCUUUUCCCUAUCUUUGGUAAUUUUUUUUCUUGCUUUUUGUGUAAAUAUACGUUAUAUUACUUUUGAUUCUUUUCUUUACUUUUGUUUUUGUGUUUUUUGUCAAUUUAUGCGUGUUUUAGAUAUGGACAAUCCAAUGUGGGAUGUCGCUAUUUUAUGAGACGACGUACGGGAACUGCAGAGGCAGGUACAUGAUAUACAGUGGGAGUUGGUCAUUGUCAGAGUAAGAAUUUUGCAGGAGAUCCACAGGAUAAGAAGGGCACUGCUGCUUCCUGUCGAAGAUGCGGCUGGCGAUAAUAAUAAUAAUGAUGAAAUCUAUUAAUAAUAAUUAGAUUAUUUUGUUUCUUCUUUCUUUCUAAGUCUGUAUAUGUAUUUUUUAUUUGUUUUAGUUUAAUAAAAAAAUUAUGUUUGAUCAACUUUGACAUUUUAAUUCAUACUCCCUCCGUUUCAAAAAGAAUGACCUACUUUCCUUUUUAGUCCGUUUAAAAAAGGAUGACCCCUUUCCCUUUUUUAGCAACUUUUAAAUUUUAACUUUCCACGUGACAUGUUUAAGACCACAGGAUUGAAGGGAAUUUUGGUAUAUUUCACAUAUGUUUAAUUUAAGACCACAAGAUUCAAAAGUCAUCUUAUUUUCUUAAACUUCGUGUCAAGUCAAACUAUGUCAUUCUUUUUGAAACGGAGGGAGUAUUUAAUUUUCAUUCUGUCUAUUAUCUUCUCAACAAACAUGUCGACGAUUGGACGUAAGGAGUAAUUUUGAAUCCAGUAGCAAUAACAGGAUUUAAGAUUUAUCUGUUGGAUUUGUGGCAGGAGCUGAUUUAUGUUGUUUUAAACAGAUUACUCAUAUGUUGCAACAGAUAACUAGUCUAUUUCAACAGAUAACUCCCUCCGUCUCAAAUUACCCUACCCAUCCUAAAUUUAGAUGGUACAUUGAUUAAGAAAAAUAAUUAAUAACAUGCCUAGUUUACCAUAAUAACCCUAUUAAAUGAUGUUUACAUUUUAAUUUGAUGAAAAAGUGAUUUAUGCAAAGGGUAAAACAUGGAAUUUUUUUUUAUCUUUUCUUGAUUAAUAAAAAAAGACAAGUAAAAUGAGAAAUCAAAAUAGGAAAUUUGGGAAGGGUAAUUUGAGACGGAGGGAGUAUUUAAUUUUUAUUCUGUCUAUUAUAUUCUCAACAAACAUGUCGACGAUUGAACGUAAGAAAUAAUUUUGAAUCUAGUAGCAAUAGCAAAACAUAUUGGUUAUCUGUUGGGUUUGUGGCAGGGGCUGAUUUGUGUUGUUCCAAACAGAUUAAUCAGUCUGAUACAACAGAUAAUUAGUCUGAUGCAAUAGAUAACUAGUCUGUUGCAACAAAUAUAUAUUUUGUUGCAACAGAUUACUCAUCUGAUGCACCAGAUGAGUGAUAUGUUUAAAUUGUGGGCACUUAUGUUGGAUUCAAGAUUGGUUUCUAUCCAUUGUGUAAAAAACAGUAGUAACUUUGUAACUCAGAUGACAAAUUCGACUACAAAUCAUAAUUUGACUUACCAAGGUCUCCUAUGAAGUAAUGUCAAAGUGAAAAAUGGUGAUGUUAGAAACAAAAUUUGACCUAAGAAAUUGGUAAAAUAGCAACAGUAACGGUAACAACAACAACAAUGGUUGACAAAAAGAAGAUGAAGAUGAUAAUGAAGUAGAAGAUGAUGAUAAUGAAGUAGAAGAUGAUGAAAAAGCAACAGCAGCAACAAUAAACAACAAUAAUCGUGAAGAGAGAGAAAACAAUAACGGAUGAGAAGAGAGGGAAACACACCUUUUUUUCCUUCAUUUUCUGUUAUAUUAACUAACAUUUGGAUCAAAGUGUAAAUUUAAAAACUUGUGGGUUAUUUUCAAACUUUUCCAACUUUCUUAAUCCAUAAUAAAGUAAUUGUCACCUCCACCUAAUAAUUAAGACUUGUGUCACCUACACCUCAUUUUAAAACUCUUUUGUCGCCUACAGCCCAAAAGCCCCAACUUAGAAGUGAUAUAGCAAAAUUACUAUAAAAGAUACUUGUGAAAAAAGUUUAAGUGGACCUCAUAUAAGAUGUCAAAUUAAUUUAAAACAUCAAGAGUUAAUUUAAUAUUUUAUGUCUAUUUUACCUUUUUUAUUAAAUAUUAUUAACCUUUUAAUACUUAAACUUAUAAUAAUUAAUUAAGAGUGAUGUAGUAAAAUUACGGUUGAAGUAGUUAAAGCAGAUAUGUAAUAAAUGACUAUUUUAUUUUUCUUUAUUAAACAUGAUUAAUUUUCUAAUACGUAACAGUCAACCAAAUAUCACGAUUGAAGUAGCGAAACAAACAUGUCUUAAAUGACUCAUCUAUCUAUAUCUAAUAAGAAAGGCAAAAAUGUCAUGUGUCAUCACCACAAAAAACCAGCAAUGUUUUUUAAAAAAUUAAUUAAAAAUUUAUUUUUUAAAACACUUAACUUCCCUAUUACAAUACAAAUUCAAUUUUAAAAAGAUAAAAAAUACCGUACACUUGCAAAUAACUUUUGUUAAUAAAAUUUCACUUAUUAUUUUAUCUUGAUAAAUAAUAUUUUCUUAAUAAAAAACCUGAAUUAUCUGGAGAAAAAUUAUACUACUAAUAAUUACUUAAAAAGCUAUGACAUCCACAUAGAAAUAUACCAUUUAAACGCUACACACAACUUAAAUAACAAAAGAUGCAAAAAAAUAAUUUUCAUUACAAAAUUUAAAAAAAAUUACAAUAGAAAUUUAAAAAAUAAUAACUGUCAAUAAUUACAAUACAAAUUUAAACAACAACAAAUGCCAAAGAGGAAACAAGAUAUACACACGAUAUAAAUUGAUUUGUUUAAUUUAAUUAUUAAAAUUUAAAAACUAAAAAGUAAAAAUUAAAUAAAUAUUGAUUGAUCAGUUUAGUUUUAAAGAGGAACGUGUAUAUACUUUGAACUAGGGAUAGUUUGAAGGAGUUGGUUUUAAAACUACCCACUACACUCCUUUUUUGAUAAAUUAUUUUUCAUUACGACUCUAAUUCUUAUUCUUAUAUAUUCUUAUAUAAUCCUUAAUAUAUUCUACAUGUUCAGUAGUUUAUCUCUGUCCUUUGAUUUCUUUCAUUCUAUUUCUGAAAAAAUCAAAGCAAUCUACUUAAUACUGCCAUAAACAUAUAUGGUUUUACAUUUUCGUAGCAUCUCACAAAUUACAAGUAAUUUCAUGCAAUGAAAUUUGAGAUUUGACUUUGACAAGUGCAGGAUAAAUUCAAACCUGAGAUAUCAUAUUCAUUAGAUAUGGUUUUACAAGAUUCAAAGGUACUUAUUGCUUUCCACUAUUUUUUUAUUUUUUACAGUGUUUACAUUAUUAGUCUUUGUUUUUUAAUUUUUGAAUAAAUUUAAAAAUUGAUGAUGAUGAUGUAUGUUCGUAUCCAAGUGAUGAUGAUGUAUGUUCGUAUCCAAGUGAACGAGAUGAUAUUAUUGAAACAAAAAACUUAAGUUUAAGGUCAUGCUUAAGGAAUCUAAUAUAAACAAGCAGGAUGAAGAUGACAAGGUUGUAAAAUUUGUUGAUGAUGAAGCUCUUUUCAAGGAAUAGUGUCAUCCUUCUCUAAAAUACACUUUAAGUAUUACUUUGUAUAAAAAAAUAUAAAUUUCAAGUUCUAUAAAAACUAUAAAUUUUAUUUUAAUGAUAUUAUUGUAUGUCAUUAGGAUUCCCUGUUUAAAGGUGCACAAAACAAUGAAGGUGAUGAGAUUUUUGAGGUAAUUAUAUGUUGCAUUUGUAGGUUUUUAAAACGAAACUUUUCAAAAAAUAUAACAAUUUUGCAAUGAAGUAAUAGCGUACCUUUUAUAAUGAAAUUUCAGUUUUUUUUUCAUCACAAACAUGCACUUUUGCAUCAUGCUUAUUUAUUUUCUCUGCCAUAUCAAUCUUGACACAAACGAAAGAGAGUGAUAUCAUUAAAAAUUUAAUUUAUCAUUUACAUAAUUAUUAUACAGAUAUUUAUUAAAAUUAAGAAGUUAAAUAAAGUCUAAUAUAAUUAUGAGUUUUAUUCUUACCUAACACAGUUUUACACUAUGCAAUCUAUUACAGACUCCCAUCAAGAACAAUCUAUCAGGUUGUGGAUCAUCUCUAACAGAAAUCAGUGUUGAUUCAACAGAAAAACAAUAUACCAAAAGAAGCAAAUCUGGAGGAAAAUUGUCAAUGCAGGAAUAUGAUGAUGAAUGUAAUGACAAACAAUCCACCAACAAGGUUCACAAAGUGAUUAAGAAGGAAAAAAAAUAUUAGUAGGAAAGUCAUGUUCAACUGUAAUCUUUUCUGCUAAUUUUAAUUUCAGUUUAUUUUGUAAUGAAUACAAGAUCUUUUAGUUAUGAACAAGUACAAUCUUAGAUAUUUGCAUAAUUUAAUGAAGAAUAUGUGUGGUUGUUUCGUGGUUAUUUCACUCCAGAAACUAGAAAGUUUUUCAUGUAUGGCUAAAAUAGAAUGUCUUUACAAUUCAUUCUAUACAAUUAGUUUCUUUGAUAAUACCUAAACGCAAGUAAUUUUUUAUUUAUAUUUAACAGUCAAGAGAAAUACAUAUUUUCAUUGUUUAUCACAGAAGAAAUACCACUAAGAACAUUCUCAUUUUAGGCAAACUAUAAACACUUUCCAGCGACAAAACGAAUAUUUUAUCAUCCUAUUUGUUUGUGGUAACAUCAAGAGCGUUGUUUCAAAUAGCUCUUAUAGUGAAUAUAUUUAAUUAAUCCUGUUAAAUAGCAUAUAAAUGAGUACAAACUGUUGAAAUAAAGAAGCAAAUAAAUAUAGAAAACAUCAAAACCUGCAGAAUCGAAAUUCGAAAGCUACAACUAGAAUAUAAUUGGCAUGAACCCAGGGAGGUGCAAAAGAUGAGUAAAACCACAUAUGGAGGCAAGGAUCAUAUUCUCAAAAAAACUCACAAAGCAAAAGAGUUAGCUAGCUUCCUUUAGGUCAAUAUUUUUAUGUUAUGCAGUAAUACAUCACAUGUAAUAUCAAUAAUGGGUUAUAAAUUUGUUCUAUUUAUAUAUACUUGACAACAAGUAGAAGAAACAUUAUACCAAUCCAUCUGAGAUCGUAGCACUAUUAUUGGUAAAACCGGCUGAGUAAACAACAGAGAAAAAAAAAA
rnacentral:lncRNA from 1 species